rnacentral:lncRNA from 1 species
UCAAGUGACUUAAGUUUCCAAUUUCACUGGGGAUGCUACCCCUGAUGUUGCAUGAAUAAGCAGAGAACAGUUCAAGAGAACUUGAGAGAUUUCCUACCACUCUUGGAAGUUCACUACUAAUAAAUGGGUUGCUACCGAAAAGAAAGUUCUCCAAGACUCUACAGUUUGUCAAAGAAAAGAGAAAGCUCAUUUCUGAGGAAGUUAAACUAUUAUUCUCCACGGUGAGAAGCUUUAAAUUUCUUAGAUUGCCCAGAUUAUCAGGAAUGGAACCUGAAAAGUAAUUAUUAGACAUGUCAAGAAGAGUAAGCUGAGAGGCAUUGGAAAUAUAUAUUGGGAUCGAGCCGACAAGAUAAUUGUCACCAAGAUAUAAUUCCUCCAGGUUUGGAAGGAAAAGGCCCAUGUUUGAUGGAAGAUGGCCAGAGAGCUGAUUUGUAUCCAAAGAAAUCACGCUUAGAGUUGAAAUAUUAAAUACUUGUGGAGGAAUAGAACCAGCAAUAUUGUUAAGGUCCAAAUUCAACAAUUGUAGAUUCUUUAGGUUGCCAAUCUCACGUGGUAUUAUACCUGCCAUAAAUUUUAUCAAACAGAAAUAUUAGACAAAUAUGGAACGUUUGCUUAUAUUUUUUAAACAUUAUACAAAAUUUAUAUUAAAUUAUCUAACAAUGUUUGGAAAUAAUUUAAUUAUUUCUUAUACAUUCACCUGUAAAAUUGUUUUGGCAACAAUCAAACAGCAUCAGAAGAGUUAAAUUCACAAUUUGUUUAGGAAUUUCACCUGCAAUUAUAAAAUUCACAUAUCAAAUUCAAAAUUCAACUCUUAUCAAGGAUAAUGAUUUAUAUAACUCUCUAACUUUAUAAAAAAAAAAUUAUUUUAUUCUUUCAUUUAAUGUGUCGUCUCUUUUAACCUUUAAAUUUGUUAUAAAAAAUAAUUUUUAAAAAAUUAUUUAAUUGUUAAUGUGACAUACACACGACAAUCCACGUGUAUGUAACGCCAGCAAAGCUAAUAAACAUUAACUUUUCUAUCUAUUUUUUCAGAAAAAAUUAAAUAAAAACUUAAAAUAUUUUUUUAUAAAAUUAAAAAUGCUAAAUAAAUUAGUAUGCCUAAAAUAAAUAAAACACCAAGUAUUUCACAUCAUAUUAGGUGUCAUACACACUUUCAAGUCUAGUUGGAAACUAAAAAAUAUUUCUCUCAUCAUUUUCUCGUAGUUUAAUAGUUUAUUUUUCAAUCUUCUUUUGAAAUUUUUAACAAUAUUUUCAAUCUCUAGAAGAUAUUAUUAUAAUCAUUAACUUAAUUUCUUUUCCAAAAAAAAAAUCCUUCAAAAAGCUUUAAAAAAUGGUUAGCAAGCAUGUAUGACCUUCAAAGUGGUUCCGACCAAUAUAGAUGUAUUGAAGCAUACUCAAAUUCCCAAUUUCUAUUGGUAGGCUCCCCUCCAUUUGGUUAUACACUAAAGAUAACAAUUGUAACUCUUUGCACUUGAAUAGACUGGCAGGAAUUCUACCAGAAAGCAGGUUAAGACUCAAGGACAAUUCUUUCAAAUUUGGAAGGUGAUCAAACAUAUCUUUUGGGAUAUGACCACUGAGAUUAUUGGAGGAGAAAUCAAUCAAUUCUAGCGAAAGCAAAGCACGUGGAACAGAGGGUAUGGAACCAGAGAGCAUAUUAUCGCUUAGAUCAAUCUUUUGCAACGAAGAUAUAUUGAAGAUAGAGGAGGGUAUUGAACCUGAAACCUGGUUUUCAUACAAGCUCAAAAUCUCUAGCUUUGACAAAUAGCCUAAAUAGAAUGGAAUAACACCUUUGAAGUUGUUUUGGUACAAAAACAACUUUCGAAGUUCAGUUAAUGAUCCCAACCAUAAUGGGAUUUCUCCACUGAAGGAGUUGUUACCAAAGCUUAAAUAUUUCAGCCGUCGCAAAUUGGAUAACUGGACAGGUAAUCCGCCAUAGAAACUAUUAUUUGAGACAUAAAGAAGAGAAAGGAAUGACAAAUUUCCCAAGUGAGGUGGAAGGGUGCCUACGAAUCCCAACCCAGUAAGGUCUAGAGCUGUGACUCUACGGUGCUUGGAUCCACAACUUACACCAAACCAGUUGCAAACGGGGGAAGAGGCUGACCAGUUAGUUGUCAAGACAUUUUCAGGAUCACGAAUAACAUGAUCUUUUAGUGCUAGAAGAGCUGAUUGAUCUGUAAGUAUGGUGGUUAAUUUCAUAGAGAAAGUAGGCAUAGAAAAAUGGAAGAUGAUAAGAAGAGCUAAGUUGAGGAAAGUAUUCCCCAUUUGAUUUUGGGUGUUUAUCAAGUUACCAACAAAGGCAGAACUGAGGUUGCUAGACAGAUAAUUGAAUGACCACAUAACUUCUUUUACAUAAUAUGUGUGUAUAUAUAAAGGGAGUUUAAGUCGUAAUUUCUUCUUGCAAGAAUAUUGCAAAUUCUUUUAAUGUGAUUUACGUAGAAACUACCGAAUUUAUUAUAGGAUGUGAUAAUAUAAUUAUGUAAUUAUGGCUUCUUUCUAAAUUUCAUUUUUUUCUUAGAAAUUACAGUAUUAAAUUUUACAUAGAAAUAAUAUAUAGUAUUGUAAUUAAAUUGCACUUCGAAGAAUAUAAAUAACCCUACCGCGUGCUUAACUAGCGUAAUCUAAACACUAAUUACUUUGUGUUUCUAUUGACUAAAAAAAUUAAAAUAACCAUGAAAUCUUUUACAACAUUCAAUGAGGUUGAACGAUUUUAUUUUUAAUUUUUGUUGUUUUGAAAUAAUAACUUAUUUGACUUCUAAUUUUUUUUUAAAAAGUAUUUUUUAUUUUUUAUUUUUUAGUCCUUAAAUUUAUAUUGUUUGUCAAAUUAUCUCAAAAUAAAUGGAAAAAUUAAGGUUUAUUAACAUUGUUGAUGUAAAUAAUAUUAAAUUUAUUUAAAAAGUAUAAAAAAAAUUUAAAAAUUAAUUAAUUGUUAAUGUAACAUACAUGUGGCAAUCUAUAUAUAUGCCACAUCAGUAAAGUUAACAAAUGUUAAUUUUUUUCAUCCAUUAUAAGUUAUUUGACAAAUAAUGAAGGAUCAAGAGUUAAAACUAAUGAAAAAUUAAAUAAAUGAAGAAUUUUCAAUUUAAAAAUCUUAAAUUUAAAUCAUAACAGCAGAAGGAGUUUAGUUACAGCAGUCUCUUUACAAUUAUCCAAGAUAGAUUAAAUUUGGUUUUAUAUCUAAGAUAUCAAAACUGUAAUUAGGUUAAUUAUAAGCAUUAAACUAAAUUAUUGGAAUCAAAAUAUAAGCAAUUUUACAAUAUUCGUGCUGGGAACAUUUCCCGUCACCAACGUUUCAUAACUUUUUGACCAUUUUUAAAAUCUCUAUAGAUUCAGUAAUGGCUCUCCAAUUUUCCAAGUAUUCAUUGGCUUACCCCUUUGUUGGGUUUGGUUUGGGACGGCUGCUUGACUUCGUUGUGCAAUCUAAAGUCUUUCCACUUUGUCGUUUUAAAAUUAUGCAUGUCGAAGAAUAUAACAAUUGAGAAAGAAUUAUAUAUUGCUGUGAAACUGAAAGUAGUUGCUAAUAUAUAAGUUAAGUGAUUAAAAAGUUCGCACUUCUUCAAGUGCGGGAAGAAGUGGUUGCGAAGUUUACACUUUUUCAAGUUAUUACAAAACAAAAAAUAAAAAUAGGGGACACAAAUUGUUUACGUAGUUCGGUUUUCUUACGCUUGCGGAUCUUAGUUUAGUGAGAAAUAUCUAUUAUCUCCAACAUUUAUAAUAAGUGAUCUUAAAUCUAUCACAACUCAGUGACAAUUUCCUCACUUUUGUACCUUUGAGGACCGGUACUCUCACCACUAAAUUCACCCCCGUGAACUUAAUUUGUAAAAUCACAACACCCAAGUUUUACAAUCAAAUGCACUCUUACAAAUAAUAUUCUUCGCUUAAACAGACUAAGUGCUCUCAAUUCUCUAUACAAUCACCUAUACAAGUCUCUCAAUUAUAUAUAGAUUUCGAGAUUUGCUAACAUAAUGAAAAUCUAUAUCAAUCCCUCUUAAACAACAACUAAACUAGUUAAAUAAAUUAUAAUAAUAACUAAGGUAAACGAGGAUUGUAGGCAACUAAGUCUUCAAUGUUCCAAUCCGAUUCAACUUCCUCGAUCCAAGCGAUUAGAUAGACAUGGUCUGAUCAAAUCGAAUUCUUUAAACAUGUUUCCUGAAGUGAUAUGAUUUUUAUUGAUGAGCUAGAUACAAUCCACAAUAUCAACACAACCCAAAAAUCCAGUUCAAUAAAUUGUCAAUCACCUAGACAUGAAAACAGUUCAGCCAAUCGCAAUGCUUCAGGAAGUGACAGUUCCUCAAGUAUAUCUUAGUCAUUCCAUAUUUUUCAACAAUCUCCCCUUUUGACAAUUUGUUGAACAAAACAUAUACAACACAUGAAGCUAUAUCAUCAAGUAACUUUAGCUCCCCCUUAGCAUUUUUCGAUUAUAUCCAAAAACUUAUCUUAGAAAAUAAUUAAGCAAAUUAACCAUUUGUUUGUGCGGAACUUUGGUGAGAAAAAUCUCAAACACACGAAAGGAGCAUGAACGGACCAUGAACAACAACUCAAAUAGAAAAAUGAAGCAAUAAAACAAAGCUCCAAGGCAUGUAUCAAACAUCUAUCUUUAAGGUUCUAUUCGCUCUCACCUAUACUCGGUGUGGAAAUGAGUUUCAAGCAAAUGAACCUCAAAGAUACAAUGAAGCUUGGUGACUUGUGUUUUACACUGACGAAAAUAGCUCACUAAGCAUAAAGCAGAGUAUAACAAAAAAAAUCAAUUUUUAUAAAGAAUUUCUAUAGUAAUUCUUUAUAGAUUUAAAGGUAAACUAUAAAACUAGUUACUCGAUUGUUAGCUUGUUUCUAUUUUGGUCACCUAAGUUUAAAUUUUUCUAUUUUAGUCUAUGUUAUCAAAAUUUUAUAUUUUGAUUACUCCCGGUUAAAUCACUAAUGGUGGUCUUUUUUUAUUGGUAUAAUAAUAAAUUUAACUCUCUAAUGUUUACAGAAUCUAUCAAUUUAAUCCUAAAUAUAAAAAAUACAAAAAAUGCCCUAAACUUUACACAUUUUUCAAUUUAGUUUUAAUUAUUAAAAAUAAAAUUUUUAAAAAUGUAAAAAAGAUUUAAAAGGUUAUUCAAUAAAAAUACAUAAAAAUUAUAAAAAUACUUAUUAAUAAAUGAAUAUAUAAUUUUCCCAUUUUCUAACAUGAAAUUUAUUUAUUAAAAUAAUAAUUUUAUAAAUAAAUUAUAUUAUGAAUGAAAACAAUUUAAGGAGAAAAAAACAAAGAAGACUUACGCAUAUUCAACUUUUCCAAUUUUUUAACAUUACAUGUUUAGGUUUGGUCAAAAGUUACAACUUAAUGUCGAAAAGGUGAGGAUCAAUAUCUUUAGGUUAUUGCCUAGAAUGAGUUUGUUAUGUAUGAGGUUGUGCUUGAGAGCAUGCAUGAUUAGAGAUAUAUAGGCGAGAAUGAGGUCUUGAAGACCCAAGAGGUGGAAGAGUGUGUCAGGAACUCUACAACCAAUUCCUACUUCGAUGGUGCAAUGAUGGAGGAUGUAAAAAUCGAUGAGCUCAAAGUAAAAGGUAUUAGUGUUGAUGGUGUAGGCGAAGGCGAUGCCCAACGCUUGACAAAUUUGACAAGGAGUAAAGUCAGACAUAUAAUAUUAUGUAUAAAAUAAACUAAAAAAAGAGAGAAAAGUUUGAAUAUGAUUUAAGUCUUGUUUGUGAGGAUUUAUUUUUAAAAUAUUUUAUUUAUAAAAUUAUUAUUUUAAUAAAUAAAUUUUAUUUUAGAAAAAAGGGAAAAUGGGUAUUUAUUUAUUUAUAAUUGCGUGCGUAUUUUUAUUAAAAAAUAAACUUUUAAAUAAUUUUAUUUUUGAAUUUUGAAUUUUCAAGAAGUAAAACUUUAUUGACAGAAUGUGUAAAGUUGAGAGUUAAAUUUGUUGAUUUUUUAAAUUAAGGCUAAAUUGAUAGAAUCUAUCAACAUUGGAGGGUUAAACUUGUUAUGAUGCCAAUAAAAAAAGCCCAUUGUUAGUGAUUUAAUAGAGGAGAGACUAAAAUACUAAAUUUCAAUAAUAAUAGUGACUAAAAUAGAAAAUUUUAAACUCGAGUGACCAAAAUAGAAAUACACUAAUAAUUAGGUGACUAUUUUUAUAGUUUGCCCUAGAUUGAAUAAUGGUUACCCAAUUUUCCACCCUUCUGUUGGGUGACUAAUAGUUGGCUUAAAAAACAUCAACAAUUGCUUAUAUGUGAAACCUUGUAAUAUAGAACCUUUUUAGUAUAUAUUCCGAAAUAUAAUAGUCUAAUUUGAGAGAAACUUCAUUAUUGGGAUAAUUUUAUAAUCAAUUGGACAACGAAGCUAUCACCAUUGUUCUUCAAGGAUAAUUAAGGUCUGGUUUGGAAACAUAACCGAUCGCUAAAUUUCCAUGACUUUUUUGGCCAUUUUCUUUUUAAGCUUUUCCCCAUUUUUAAAUCUCUAUAGAUUCAAUAAUGCUCCCCAAUUUUCAAUGCUUAUUCAAGGGCGAAGUUAGAAUAAAUAUUUAGGGGGAAUCGGAUAAAAUUUUAAUUUUUUAUAGUUUAUAUCUUUAUAAUUUAUAAAGGAUUAAAUCAAAUUUUUAUAAUUUUAAAGGACUAAAGUGUAAUUUUAUAUUUAUUAAUUUAAAAUUUUUAAAAAAAUUUAAAAGCCAAAAAAAUAAAUUUCCAUUUUAGGGGGGCCAGGCCCAUGCCAACCCCUGACUUCGCCUUCUUUUUCCAACCCCAUUUUUUCCUGGACUUUACUGUGCAUUUUAAAGCCUUUCGUUGAGUAAAUUAUAAAUAUAGUCACUCAAUUUUGAUUAAUUUUUUUAUUAUUAAAUUAUAAAAAAUUAUAUUUUAAUCACUAAGAUAAUUACAAACAAGCCAAUUUGGUAAGGUCUCAGAAAUAUCACGAAAAGAUCUUCACACACGUCACAAAAGGUUUGCAUUUCGUACGUUUCAAAACGUCACUGACCAACAAAGCGACAUUAAAAAUGCUUUCUUUCAUGAUUCUUUUUACUGUACCUUUUUAGAAAAUGUCGCGGGUAAUAUUGCUUUUCGUGAUGUUUUCUAGAAAAAUUACAGAAAAACAUAUUUUUUAUGACGUUUUCGCAAACAGACACAAAAUAAAAGUCAAGAAAAUCAGAAUUCUGAUAGCAAUGACUCAACCCCUUACCUUUAUUGUUUUAAAAAUAAAUUUUUAAAGAAAUAGGAUCUCAUGCAUAAUUGUUGAUGCACAUUAUAUUUAUGUUAUACAAUCACAUAUUUUAUAUGUUUUAUGCAGAUAUAUACAAGUCAUUCAUUCAUUUUUACAAUUUCAAAUUUAUAAGGAAAAUAAAUUAUUACAAUUUAAGUAUUUGUAGCUAUUAAAUUAAUAAAAUUCUAUUUAUUAAUAAUCCAUAUAGUUUCUAAAAUAUUGAAGUACUUCUCCUCAAUUUAUAUUAUUUUAAAUAUAUUUGAGAUAUCAAAAAAUGAUUAAAUUUAAAAUAAAAUAUCAUUAACCAAUAAUUUGGGACUAUUAAAAUAAAAUGUCCAUAAAACGAUUUGAGCUAAUUUUUCAAUGCUAAAUUGAUGACCAACGUAUAAAGGGAGAAGUUGAAAUUAAAGAACAAAGAAAAGAAAAGAAAGAAAGAACUUGUUGUAUUAGGGAAAAGAAGUUGUGGUUAAUAUGCAGAAGGACUUGGGGUUUGAAAUUUGACUAGUAAUUUGUAUUUUUUUUUUGCUGGUUAGACACAAUAGUGACACAAUAUGGAGUCCCAUUUAAGAUGGGAAGCCUUGAAGAAAUUGAUAAAUCAUCUUUCGGAUUCUAUAGGAAACUAAGUAUAAUUAAGCAUUGAUGGAUUAAAGUGUUAAAAGGGAUUUAAGUCUUUCUUAGCUCAACUAGAAAAUUGAUAAUGACAUUAUGUUUAAGUUUUGUAUUAUUUUUAAAAUAAUUUUUGCUAGCUACAAAAUGUAAGUAUUUAUUGCAUUAUUGGGACGGAAAUUUCGUUUUUAGAAAUUAUAUAUAUAAUUAUCACUUUUAAAUAAAAAAUUGUUGAUAUUUUCUAUUAUGAAAAAACAUUUCUCAACGUGUUGUAUUGUUGAACAAGUAAUCUUUUUACUUCUAUUGUGGCAAAUUCAAUGGAGGGAGUUAUCUUCUUAUUUCUACCACAAAAAGUUUUUCAAUUUAUUUCAUUGGGUGAAAAUCUCAUGGUAAUCAACAAAUUAUGUGAAGGUGUGUGAAAAUAGGAAGGAUAUGAGUCUUUAGUAAACAAAAGUUAAGAUAAAAAUUACCAUGGUACUCGUUGGAUAACUCACAUCUUUUUUACGGAAUGUAAACUUUUGUAAAUGAUAAGUAAAGAAAAGAAAAGAAAAGUUUGGGCAAUUCAAUUUAAUCAUAAUAUUUACAACACUAUCUUUUUCUUAAUUGCUUAUCUCCAUUACUUUAGUAUACCUCAAUAAAUGAUUUCCCAAAUCAUUAUAAGAAUUAAUACCUUUUAAGAAGAAUGUAUAAUAUUUACAACUCUAUCUUUUUGUCUCAUGCUACAGUGUUAUUACAGUAUCUAAUCUUACCGCCACUACUAUUUUUACACUAACCGCAGGUAAACGCGCAUCGCCCAUCCAAACUCACCAGACUUAGAUAUAACCUUUCCCCCUAGCUUUUAUAGUUGUUAUAUAGUCGUUGGCAAGUCAUGUGUCGAGACAAUCUAUCAAUUGUCUCUAGACACAUUGCACAAUGUCUCAAGACAGGCCGAUAUGAAUCAGUAUAAGUCAAUAUUAACUGAAACGAGCUAAAACAUACUAGAAUGGUCGAAACACAUCAAAAUCUUAACUACACCCUAGACUACUUCGUACUGAUUGAAGACCAGAAAGAUACAUAUCAAGUGUGUUCUGUAAACACUCAAUUUUGCCCGGGCCAGAAAUAAGUCCAAAAACAAAAAUAAUAAACCCUCCCAAAAAAAGAAGUCCAAGUUCAGUCCAAAAUUACAAAUAUAAUUUGGCCCGAUCGGAAUGGCCCAUUACUUGAAAAGAUUUAAGGUCCAUCUACAAGUUUGACUCAUAUGGAAAUAUAAUCUUCAAUGAUAUGCAAUCUUAGAUGUGAUAUGCAAUCUUAGAUAUGAUACAAUCUUAGAUAUGAUAUGCAAUCUUAGAUAUGAUAUGCAAUCUUAGAAGAUAUGAUUUUGUAAUCUUGGAGAUUUAAUUUGUAGAUAUCCUUUAAUCUUAACCGUUGAUGUAAUUGAUCUGUACCGUUGGAUUUGGGGAGGCUCAACUAUAAAUAGAGGCCUCUCCCCUCAUUGUAAAACAACUUGACUUCACUUGAGUUUUAGGAAGCAAUAAGAAUUCUUGAGAGCAUUCACUCAAAUUUUUCUCCCUCUUGCAUUCUUAUUUUCUACAGUUUGUUCUUAUUUAUUCUUUGUUCAUCUUCGUUUUCAACCUUUUUUUAUUUAAUCCCUAUCUCCUUGAUUUUUUAAUUCUCUUUUAUAUUUUAUUUUUUAAUAAUUUUAGUAUUAUAUCAAAUUAUUUUUUAUUAAAUUCUAUAUUAUUCAUUGUUUUAAAAAAUAUGUUUCAUUUAAUUGAAAAAGUUUUUUUCUUAAAUAAGGCAAUGUUUGGUGUUUAGAAAUUCGGAAAAUAGUGCCCUAACAUGCUGGGUUGCAAUUUCUUCGUUUGACUAAAUAACCAAAUAUCCUUUUAAUAAAUUUUCAAAAUCAUGAGAUAAUUUUAGUUACGAGGAUUUAAAACAUCGUGUCCUAACAUGCUGGAUGUGAUGUUUGUAUACUUUCAGAACAAAGGAACCUCAAGUUUUAACUUUAAAUUGUUCAAGUUUUAAAAUCUUUUCAAAUUUUCGACAUUAGGGCAAUAAAUAAUCAAUUUGGUACCAAUUUUGGGAAUUACGAGGGUGCUAAUCCUUCCUUGUGCGUAACCGACUCCCGAACCUGUUUUCUUGCAUUUCGUAGACCAAAAUGUUUUAUAAAGGUGAUCCAAUCACACCUAAAAAGGUUGGUGGCGACUCCCAUUUUCAUUUUUCAAAAAGUCGAACCCCAUUUUUCAAACCCCUUUAAAAAUGGUUUCGACAGCUUGGCGACUCCACUGGGGAUGUAUAAGAGAGUCAAGCCAAAAAUUGAUUAUUUUCUAUCUUAAUGUCAGAAAUUUGGAAAAUUUUUAAAAUACGUCAUUUUUUACAUGUGUUUGUUGCAUAUGUUUGUUAUGAUUUACGCACACAUUGCAUUUGCAUGACCGUUGUAGUCACACCCUUAAGUGGGAGUGAGAAGCUAUGCUUUCGUGAGGUUUUCACCUCCACAUGGGCUAGUGGAUUGCUUCCGAGAUACAUCCGUACCUAUGUCUUCGUGAGAUUUUCAUCUCCGCAUGGCCAUAGGGAAAUGUGUCCCCUUGAACUGAACUUGGUCCAUAUGAGCCUAUAAUUGGUAAGGAUUGAGGAAUCUGCUAGUUCAGGUACCCUUGCUUUAGAACCGAACUACAUAUAAUGAACUUUAAGUGCUUGCCCCAGGUAGUAUGAUGAUGACCUUUAGUGCCUACCUUUAUAAGUUCUUAUUUAUUAUAUUUUUUUUAUAUAUGUGACACUGACUUGUUUUUCUUAUUUUGCUAUCAUUGCAUGUCAUUUAUCAUUAAAAGGUGUUGAUUCAAGGUUCGAUUUCUGAGUUAGAAAGUUUUCUAAUGGGGAACGAAUAUCUUAAUAAAGUGGAGGACAACUCUUUCGUUUGUGCUUGGUCAGAGAAAACCCAGAUAGAAAAAGAAAAUAGUGUUACCGAAGGAUACAUAUCAGAAUUAUGGGAUUACACUCUCAUUAGUGUGAUGCAAAAUAAACUCCAAGAGUUACUAUUGGAUUAAUGGAGUAACGAAGCCAAGCAGUUGUUCUACAACAAUUAUGGGGAAUUGCAGUAUUUGCUUGACAUGAAGAUAGAUAAACAAUUCAAGGUGAGCGUGGGGAGUACUGAGGGACACUUCUACCAUUACAGAUGAAGAUAGUCACCUCAUGGAUGGUAGGGAUAUAAGACAUACAAAAUUGAAUUGGAUGGAAAGAAUUUUGCUUAUGAUGGUAGAAAGGCUUACUUACUAUAGGAUCGCUACCAAACCACAAGCUGGAAUUUACUGUGGUACUUUAGGAUGUUGUACGUAUCAGAAAUAAUGGAAAUGCAAGACCUAAUGGCCGGGACAACCCAAAUGAGCAUGAAAGAAAGAGAUUAAAGAAGAUCGUAUCGUUUAAAGACCUUUAAAGUUGAGAUUAGCUAUGUUGCGAAGAUACCCAUGCAAGCAAUUCGAAAUGUUCUGUGGAGGCAGAAAUUUAAAGACUCUUAAGAAGCACUGAGGAUGUUUGAUAUCAUUUUAAGGCAGUAUGCUGCGAAGCUGGAAUGCCUACUUAUUCGCUAAUCUUUCUUUCAAGGUAAUCAGAGCAACUUCACAGACGUUGGAAGAGGUGUCUUUGGCUGUAGAGCUUACUUCAUAGGUGAAGCCGUAAUUCAAAUUCAAGAGAUAGCUGAUCAUUUACAGAUACUGGUAGAAAGGGCAAGCACGUUGAGCACCAAUAUGAGCUACAGUUCAGAUAGAGGUUGAGAGUUAGCUUUGUUAUUAGAUAGGGUUAAGACUCUAGGCCUACGAGCGAAAGCGUAUUUGUAAUCCGUUUUAUGAAAAGACUUUGGUUCAUUAAAUAAUGUUUUUUAAAAUGAAACUGAAUCGAGAUCGAUACAUUUUUGCAUUCAUGCAUUUGCAUUACAUUACAUCAAAGAAAAGAAGGUGUUAAUUCGAAAUUCGAUUCCUAAAUAGAAUAUUUUGUCAUAAGGAAACAAAUUUCUUGAUAAAGUAGAUUAUAGUGCGGUCGUCUGAAUAUAGUCCAAGUAAACACGACGAGAGAAAGCUGGUAGUCCAUGGAGGAAACAUGAUGUAAUUGCCAGAGAUUCAAGCCAACAAAGGUUAUCCAAGAGCAUGACGAGAGAAAGCCAGAAGUCCACGAAGGAAUACAUGACUUGAUUUAAUUGCCAACGAAGAUUAUCUAAGAGCUGGCACUUUUUGAUGAGUAUCAUGAAGAUAAGCGAGCAAGAGAUCGGGGCUCAAAUUAAGCAGCAAUGAGCUAGCAAAUGCAUUUUUUGGAGAAUUUACAGGAUUCGACCAUGAAGAAAAGAUCAGCGUUUACUUGGACUAUGAAGGGCAAGAUCGCAUAUGUAAUCUAUUUUUAUGUAAAGAAAUUUGUUUUCUAGAAAAGUUAUUCUAAUGGAAUUGAAUUCAAUAUCAACAUCUCCUUUUCUUUUGCAUUCAUGCAUUUGCAUUGCAUCACAUCAAAUGCAUUUAAAUCUAUAAAAAGACCCUAAUUAGUUAAAGUUAUUAAAAAGAGAAAGAAAAAGAGAGAGAGAGAAGAGGGUCACGGCUGAGUAAAAAAGAAGUUGAAUGGGAAUUAACGACGUUCCCUUACAUAUCCUUGACUUUUGUGUCAGGAGGGAUAGCUUACUCGGAGAAAGGGUUGUUUGGAAAUGAAAAUCAUCCCAUCAAUGUCAUACAUGAGGAAGGGACUGAACAAAGAAACCUUGAGGGCAUUCGCCCUUACGAACCGGGAAUUUCUUUAAACAAUUGGACUGUAGAAGAACUUCCUAUAAUCUUUAGGAAUUUUACGGAGUAAUAUUCAGAAUACUCUUGUUGCUCUAAAGCCUAAGAGUAAUGAGAUUUCUUUUGAGAAGUGGGCUCAUGUUCAAACAUUUUUAUUUUCAAUAAAACAUACUUUUAUUAUUCAUCCGAGUAAAUGUUCUUUCAUUCUGAUUCUUUUGACCUUUGACAUUCUUUAUAAAUUUUCAUUUCAUGUAAAUAGUUAUUUUUGAAUUCAUUUAUUCCUUAUUCUUUUGUGUGCCUAUCAUAGAUCUCUAGAUAUCAAUGACACGAGCAACGAUACUACAGAUUCAGAGUUCUUUUUGAGUGCGAUAUGUGUUUAGAGGAAUCUCAGUACUUUGAAGGUGACAGAAAUUGUGACUUGUUUCUGAAUUUGUUGAAAAUGGUUUUUACCCCAUGAAGUGGUGGUAGGAAAUAUAACCUUAGAGGAAGGAAAGAUUGUGAAAUUGGAAUUAGCUGAGGAGACAAGACAAGACCUUGUUGAGAUUAUUAUAGGAAUUCAAAAAUGUGGUCCAAAAACACAUGCAGGAGGAUUUACAAUUGCCAGAAUAAACAUGAGGUUUUGGGGCACUGUUAGUCCACCAUGAAAAGGGAUCGCAUCAGUUGUACAAUGAAUGCCAAAUUUAAGGGAGUCAAGACUUAUGGGACAUGUAUGUUAUGGGCCCGAGCUCAUCAAAAGUUUUAAGCUGACAAUGACUCAUCUUUGUGAACGUCAACGGCUCCAUUAAGAGGAAGAGAUAGCUUCAUAUGCCAAUAUUACAAAGUCAAAAGUUAUCCAUUUAAAAAAAAAAAGAUUAUAUAACUGCACAAUGCCAAAAGUUUGCAGUCUUUUCAAAGAUAAUGCGACAUACCACAGUACAACAAAGCUUCCCAAAAGAAAAGAAAAAGAAGAAAAAAUAAAUUACAGAAGAUGACCGAGACUGGUAAAAAUUGGUAUAAGAAACUACCGCUUACUCUCUCUGCUUAUGCUGGGGCAAACACCUUCAAUUCCAGUUGUUUCAAAGGUUCCAACCAUCAUCCUUGGAAUGGAUGUAUUGUUUGGCUUUCCUGAGCAGUCUGAUGUGCCGUCAAUAGCUGCGAUGGUUAGCUUCAAGCGGUGGCCAUUGAUUUCCAGCUAUGGGGCAUCAGGCCGUACACAGUCUCUGAAGCUUAAAAUGAUAGAUUCUUUCUUCAAAACCAGUUUCUGACAAAGUGGAUGACGGUAUCAUGAAGGAAGCUCUUUUAGAUUUCUAUACAAGUUCAGGGAAGAGGAAACCUGAUCAAAUCAUUAUUUUCAGGGAUGGGGUUAGCGAGUCUCAAUUCAAUCAAGUUUUGAUCAAGUUAUUGAGGCUUGCAAGUUCCUUGACGAGAAGUGGAACCCCAAAGAUUGUGGUUAUUGUUGUACGAAAAACCAUCAUGUCAAGUUUUUUCAGCAGGGAUCUCCUGACAAUGUGCUACAUGGUACUGUCAUUGACAACAAAGUAUGCCAUCCAAAAAACAAUGAUUUUUACCUUGGUACCCAUGCUGGAAUGAUUGGAAUCACGAGGCAGACCCACUAUCAUGUUCUCUUAGACCAGGCUGGGUUUUCGGCUGAUGAUCUGCAAGAGUUUGUUCAUUCUCUAUCCUAUAUGUAUCAAAGGAGCACCACAUCCAUAUUUUUUGUGGCUCCUAUUUGCUACGCUCAUUUGGCAGCUUCACAGUUGGGGGCAAUUUAUGAAGAUUAGGGAUGCUUCAGAAACAUCAUCGAGUCAUGGUGGGAUGUAUGCUCCGGGAGUAAUCUUUGUACCUCAGCUUUCCAGGUUGAAGGAUAAAGUCAGCAACUUCAUUCUUGUCUGCUGAGAAUCAUUGAACCAUCUUUUUGUAGGGUUUGACAAACAACAGCCAGGACUGCUACUAGGGCAAUCCCUUUCUCAUGGGUUUAUGAAUCAAGAUUUUUCCUCCAAGCUUUGAUGGAGUCAAGAAUUGAAUACCUCUAGUGAAAUUAACUUGAAAGUAUUCACCCUAAGCAAAUGUACCAAAAAUGGAUGACACAGACUUAUGACAAAGAAGGUUCAUCCAAAAGAAUUUCAAAAAAGAAACCUUGUGCUGAAAGAUAUCCUUCCUAUGCAAAAGGAUGCCGAAUUGGGAAGGGCCAUAUGUUGCGAAGAGGGCUUUCUCUAGAGGUGCACUAAUUUUGACAAGAAAUGGAUAGGAAGAAUUUAUCUGAUCCAAUGAAUUCGGACUCGGUCAAUGAGUACUUUGUCUGAAGAAAGCCAAGGUGAAAACCCACAAAGGGCACUUUGGGACUUCUAUUUCAAAAGCAAAAAAAAGAAAGAAAAAAAAUUAAAGAAAAAGAGAAAACAAAGAAAAAAUAAAAAAAUAAAAAAUAAAAAUGGAGAGGCCAAGGUGAAAACCCGCAAAGGGCGCAUUGAGACCCAAAGGGUUUUGAGUUGAAAACCCGAAAGGGCAGCUCAAAUUUGGAAAGUCAUGCAGUAGCUUUGCUAUUCCGGAUUCGAUGAGAAGUGAAGUAUGUUACAUAUCGAGGCAUCAAAGAAUUACUUUGGAUCUUUUAAACACAUGUUGAACUCAAGAAAGUCUUCAUGGAGCUGGUGUAUAGACGCUCAAGCGGCGAUAUCUGGGGCAUCUGAUUUCUGUCCUAUUUACUAUCUUUGGAUUCUUUUUCUUCGCAAAGAUAUGUUCUCAAGUUAAUCUUUUCGCAUUCCUUCCAAUAAUUUGUCCAAAUCUAAUUAUCCUCAGGAUCCAUUUAUUUGUCUCCCAUUAUUAAUAAAGCAUGUUGCAUUGAAAUAAUGAUAGAUGAACUAAAAUAUCUUCACAAAUGAAGUUUUGCAUAUUACUUUGGAAAUUUCUAGAUAAUACAAGAAACUGAAACAAGACAAUUGUUUAAGGAAUUCUCAUAUGUAUGGGUUGGAGAUACUCGAGAGAUUUUCUUCUUCAGUCCGAAAGGUGGUUGGACGUUUUAAGCAAUAUUGAUCUUAAGAAAGGAUCAUUUCAUAAACAUCUUUAGUGGGUCGUAACAUUCAGGGAAUGGUACGGUAGACCAAAUUGAUGGAGAAGAUUCGAGGCAUACGAGCAGAGUAUGAUUGAUAUGUCGAGAAGAAUGAGGUGGAAAGCUCGAUAGAUGAAUAAGUGAUGACGUCCAAAAUAGGAGUUAUUUUCAUAAACAUUUUGCAUCAUAAUAUGUCUAAUUAGGAGCAUUUGACUCAUUUCGAUCAUGGUAUCUUAAUUAUUUGGCAUAAGCAUAAAUUCCAGGAAAUCAAUUCUACAAGUGGAUUCCCCAGUGGACAAUGUAGCAAGAUUGAUUAAAAAUUACAAAAUUCAGCGCCUUAAUCCCCUAAGCAGUAGGGUAACAAGUUAAAUUUGCAGAUCUUAUCUCCCUAAGCAGUAGUGGAGCAGAUCGAAGACUCGCCUUAACCCCCUAAGCAGUAGGGUAACAGGCUAAAAUUACAGAUCUUAUCUCCCUAAGCAGUAGUGGAACAGAUUAAUGAUGACUCACCUUAAUCCCCUAAGCAGUAGGAUAACAGGUCAAAAUUGCGGAUCUUAUCUCCCUAAGCAGUAGUGGAGCAGAUCGAAGAUGCGCCUUAACCCCCUAAGUAGUAGGGUAACAGGUUAAAGCAUAGCAGAUCUGGCCUUCAGAUGUUUAUACUGAAGCAAGAUCCAAGAUGGUUUGGCAUCCUUGUGCUUACAAGGAACAAAUCGAAGACAUAGCUGAUUUGGCUUUCACGUGCUUACGAGGAAGCAAAUCUAAGAUGAUUUGGAAUCUCUGUAUUGUCAGAGAACAAAUCAAAUUUUGGCGUCUCCAUAUUCGACGGAGGGCAGACACAUAGCAGAUCUGGCCUUCAAAUGUUUAUACUGAAACAAGAUCCAAGCUGGUUUGGCAUCCUUAUGCUUACAAGGAACAAAUCAAAGACAUAGUUGAUUUGGCUUUCACGUGCUUACGAUGAAGCAAAUCUAAGAUGAUUUGGCAUUUCUGUAUUGUCAGAGAACAAAUCGAAGUUUGGCGUCUCCAUAUUCGACGGAGGGCAGACACAUAGCAGAUCUGGCCUUCAAAUGUUUAUACUGAAGCAAGAUCCAAGCUGGUUUGGCAUCCUUGUGCUUACAAGGAACAAAUUGAAGACAUAGCUGAUUUGGCUUUCACGUGUUUACGUUGAAGCAAGUCUAAGAUGAUUUGGCAUCUCUGUAUUGUCAGAGAACAAAUCGAAGUUUGGCGUUUCCAUAUUCGACGGAGGGCAGACACAUAGCAGAUCUGACCUUCAGAUGUUUAUACUGAAGUAAGAUCCAAGAUGGUUUGGCAUCUUUGUGCUUACAAGGAGCAAAUCGAAGACAUAGUUGAUUUGGCUUUCACGUGUUUACGCUGAAGCAAGUCUAAGAUGAUUUGGCAUCUCUGUAUUGUCAGAGAACAAAUUGAAGUUUGGCGUCUCCAUAUUCGACGGAGGACAAACAUAUAGCAGAUCUAACCUUCAGAUGAUGAGACUGAAGCAGAUCCAAGAUGGUUUGGUAUCCUUGUGCUUACAAGGAGUAAAUCGAAGACAUAGCUGAUUUGGCUUUCGCGUGUUUACGCUGAAGCAAAUCUAAGAUGAUUUGGCAUCUCUGUAUUUUCAGGAAACAAAUUGAAGAAGCAGAUUUGGCGUCUCUGUGUUCGAUGGAGAGCAGAUUGAAGAUAUCAACAUGACAGUCAUGAGUUUGCAAGAAGCAGAUUGAAACCGUCAAGAGGCCAUUUAAAGAAGAUCAAGAACUCAAGACUCGGCAAGACCGGGCAAAAUUGGUCUUUUUAUAGUCUUUACUCUAUUUCUGUUACACAGCAAUGAGCAAAGAGGGGCAGCUGUAGACACUCAAUUUUGCCCGGGCCCAGAAAUAAGUCCAAAAACAAAAAUAAUAAACCCAAAAAAAAAAGAAGUCCAAGUUCAGUCCAGAAUUACAAAUAUAAUUUGGUCCAUCUACAAGUUUGACUCAUAUGGAAAUAUAAUCUUCAAUGAUAUGCAAUCUUAGAUGUGAUAUGCAAUCUUAGAUAUGAUACAAUCUUAGAUAUGAUUGCAAUCUUAGAUAUGAUACAAUCUUAGAUAUGAUUGCAAUAUUAGAUAUGAUACAAUAUUAGAUAUGAUUGCAAUCUUAGAUAUGAUUGCAAUAUUAGAUAUGAUAUGCAAUCUUAGAAGAUAUGAUUUUGUAAUCUUGGAGAUUUAAUUUGUAGAUAUCCUUUAAUCUUAACCGUUGAUGUAAUUGAUUUGUACCGUUGGAUUUGGGGAGGCUCAACUAUAAAUAGAGACCUCUCCCCUCAUUGUAAAACAACUUGACUUCACUUGAGUUUUGGGAAGCAAUAAGAAUUCUUGAGAGCAUUCACUCAAAUUUCUCUCCCUCUUGCAUUCUUAUUAUCUACGGUUUGUUCUUAUUUAUUCUUUGUUCAUCUUCGUUUUCAACAUUUUUUAUUUAAUCCCUAUUUCCUUGAUUUUUUAAUUCUCUUUUAUAUUUUAUUUUUUAAUAAUUUUAGUAUUAUAUCAAAUUAUUUUUUUAUUAAAUUCUAUAUUAUUCAUUGUUUUAAAAAAUAUGUUUCAUUUAAUUGAAAAAGUUUUUUUCUUAAAUAAGGCAAUGUUUGGUGUUUAGAAAUUCGGAAAAUAGUACCCUAACAUGUUGGGUUGCAAUUUUUUCGUUUGACUAAAUAACCAAAUAUCCUUUUAAUAAAUUUUCAAAAUCAUGAGAUAAUUUUAGUUACGAGGAUUUAAAACAUCGUGUCCUAACAUGCUGGAUGUGAUGUUUGUAUACUUUCGAAACAAAUGAAUCUCAAGUUUCAACUUUAAAUUGUUCAAGUUUUAAAAUCUUUUCAAAUUUUCGACAUUAGGACAAUAAAUAAUCAAUUCGGUACCAAUUUUGGGCGUUACGAGGGUGCUAAUCCUUCCUUGUGCGUAACCGACUCCCGAACCUAUUUUCUUGCAUUUCGUAGACCAAAAUGUUUUAUAAUGGUGAUCCAAUCACACCUAAAAAGGUUGAUGGCGACUCCCAUUUUCAUUUUUCAAAAAGUCGAACCCCAUUUUUCAAACCCCUUUAAAAAUGGUUUCGACAUGUUCCAUGUUGAUAUCUCUUUUAUGUACUGCUUUAUAUUUUUGUUCUUUUAAUAAGAUUUGUUUGGCUUAUAAAAAAAUUGUUUUUAUUAAAAUAAAAUAAAUGAAAAUCUUAUGCAAAGAUUGAAAAAUGAGAUCAAAAUUUGCUAUGUUUUGAUAUUGAGCGUUUAAUAAUUUGUACCUAUAUUCUUCAAAAAAAAUUGGACCAAUACAAUUCCAUAAAAUUAUUGCAAAUGAUCAUACACUACAGCAAAACAGGUUUUUAGAGGCCUUUUUUUUGCCUAUAAGCGCCGCUAAAAUUAGUUACAGCGCUCCGCUAAAGAACAUGACCUUUAGCGGCGCUUUUUCAACAAACGCCGCUAAAAAACAUGAUCUUUAACGGAACUUUUCCCACAAACGCCGCUAAAAAACAUAACCUUUAAAAAAUGUUUUAAUUAAAUAAUAUUUAUUUCUAUGAGAAAUAUUAUAUUUUAUUUUAUUUUUGAAAUUUGAACUUUAAACUAUAUACUUUUAAGGAUAAAUAAAAAUAUUAAUUAAAUUAGAUUUUCUAUUAAAAUUUUAACUUUAAAACUAAAUAUAAAAAUUAAUGAAUUUAAAUGUAAUACAUAAAAAAAAACACAGACACACUCACAAAGUAUUACUAUUUAUAAAACAAAAUUCAUCCUUGUGAGAAAAGAAUGCGAAAUCAUCAUCACUCUCAUUAAUAAAAGGAAAAAGAUCAGAAAAAAAGAAACAAUAUACAACAGAGGGCUGGUUCAAGGUUAGAGGAAGCCAAAGUAUUGCAAUGCCUGCAUAUAACUUAGAGAAGUCCUUUGAUACUUUCAAUUCAACCGCUAGAAAAUCUAAAACACCGGAACAGAAAGCCAAAGUAUGCACCUGUAAGUUAAAAAUGCAUUGCAAAGAUAUAUUAAUAAGUUUGACAUCUAAACAAAUAAAUUAUUAACCACAAUUAUUCCUCAACUUUUUUUUUAUUUUUGCAAUAUAAAGGAACUGAUAAAACUUCCAAGCACCACCAAAAAGUCUCCACAAUAUCGACAGUAAGUUGAAACAGCAAUGUACUGACAUUUCAGGCCAGUAAGGAAAUCACUUAUACGACCCUCAAAGCCACAUAUGUCAAACCACAUUAACUGAUCUCUUUGAAUUAUGAUAUGAAAAGAUAAAUUUUUAAUAAUGCCACCAUAAAGAAAGAAUCAAAAUUUAUCUAGUUUGGAAGAAAAUUGAAAUGACAUCAAAUUUUAAAACUACUCCCUUUAUGAAAGAAAGCUCAGCUUGUUUAUAACUCAAUGACUACGAAAGAACCAUCUAAUUGCCACUUGCAUCUAAAAGUUGUGAGAUAUACUAAGUCGAUAAAUAUAAAGCAUGAAAACAGUUUGUUUCGACAAAAGAGAAAUAAAACAUUGUUGCUAAUAACCGGAUAGAACAAAAAAACCGAACAGCAUAGCUGCACAGGCUCAGAAGCAAGAGCCCAUGUAAAGACUAUGCUUCAACAACAAUGAGAGUAAUAGAGGAAACAGUUAUUCAGCUCUAGCAUUCAUUCUUUUAGAGUUACAAAAUACCGUAUUUUGUCAACAAGUUCAACGGCACAAGUUCAUAUACUUCAAAGAAAAUAAAUAGACAUUCAGCUUCAUUAAAUGAUAUCAAGUUCCUCAUUUACUAGAUCAUUUAAUUCAAUAGAGCUAAACAUAACACAUUUUGCUAUUUCUAUUAGUAUAGAAUUUAAAAUAUCAUAUUAACUUUAAGUGGUGGGACUACAUUUUAUUAUUUACAGGAACUCUUACAUCAGGUCAAUAAUGGGGCACAACUAGGAUACCCAAUUGUUGCAGGCCUAUUUUGACAUACCAUUACAAAAGCCCAUUUACAUUAAACCAAUACCCAAUACAAAACAGCUCAAAUUACCCACUUAACAACCUCUAAACGCAGAACCCAAUACAUUACCCAAACCCCUUAACCCAUUUUCAAACCCAUACCCGAAGCCCACCUAAUCUAACCCACCCUAACCCAAAACCCAGAAGCCCAAAACCCCAAGACCCAAAUCAGAAAACACCAAACAACCCUAACCCCUAUUCUCACUUGCGCCACCUACCCUCUGCGCCCCCAUGCCCCUGACUGUCGGCCAACUGCUCUGCAGGCACCAUCGUUCACCUGCAAAGAAGAGACAAAUAAUAAUAGAAAAUUGUAUGUGAUUUGGCUUUAAAAAGCCCGAACCGAAAUCAAAACAGGUGGAUUUUUUUUCUUGAAAAAAAAUACAAAGAGAAAGAACAUUCGACAAGUUCAAUCAAAGAAAAUACAAAACCCAUUCGUUUUUAGCAAAUAUCACUUCCAUCAGCAUUUAAAUACAAUAAUAUCAUCAAAUCAAACAAAUAUAUCAGAGAUUGAAGAAACAAAAAAUGAUAAGACCUAAGGUAAUUUUUUUUCUCUUCACUGUUUUGGGCUUGUUUUUUUUUACACAUAAAUACUUAAAAGAAUUACAAAUAUACAUAUAUUACAAAAAAAUAAAUUUAAAAAUAUAAAUUUUACCUUCUCCGGCACCGUGCACGGUGGCCGGCGCUGGCGACGGACGGCAGUCGGUGAGGGUCCGGUGACCGGCCCCCUGGCCCGGUUUCCCUCUCCCUCUCCCAUUCUCUCCUUUUUUUUUUCUCUUCUCCCCUCUCAAAUGAAUUUUUUUCAAAAAUUUUUAUCUUUUAUACGGGACCAAAACGCACCGUUUUGGUCCCCCCUGGUUUAACCAAAUACGGCGCCGUUUUGGGCCCCGAGUCGGGUCGACCCGACGCGCUCUAGCAAGGAUCCGCGUGUUUUUUAGGGAGGGGUUAUUUGCACGUUUAACCCCUCCGCUUUUUAAACGUUUUGCAAUUAAGUCUUACAUGUUUUUUAAUUCGGCCCUGUAAUUUUUCACGGAUUUUGAUUUAGCCCCCGUGCUGCACAGCGUUUUGGAAAAAUUCGUAAUAUUGCGCUUUUGAUUCCCCUUAGUGUUGCCCGUGUUCAAAUAAGUCCUUUUCUUUGUUUUUAUUUUUAAAAUUGCCCCAAAACUUUGUUUUUGUUUUAAAUUUAGUCCUUUCUUCAGAUUUAAGUUUAUUUUCGUAUUGUCCUUAUUUUCUUUUUUAUAUAUUAUUACUGUUAUUUUUAUUCCUCUUAUAUUUAUUAUUAAUAUAUAUUAUUAUUAUAGUUACUACUAUAUAUAUAUUACGUAUAUAUAUUUUUUAUAUUGUAUCUAUGUAAUAUAAUUACUAAGUUUUUUAAACAUUAAUAGUAUUUAUAUUUGUAUAUUAUGUAAGUGUUCUAAUACUAUAUCAUAUAUAAAUAUGCAUUUUUCAUAUUAAUAUAUAUAUAUAUAUAUAUAUGUUUUUAAUAUUAUAUUAUCAUGUAUAUGUUUUAAUAUUAUUAGCUAUCUAUCUUUCAUACUAUCUUAUGUACAUUUCUAAUACCAUCAUAUAUUAUAACAUCAUUAUUAUUUAUAUAUAUAUGUACGUAUCUAUAUAGCGUACGAAGUCUUUUUUUAUUAUCAUUUCUAAUAUAAAUAUAUAUAUCAUAUAGGUUUAUAUACAUAUCAUACAUGUUUCUUUAUUUUUAUUUAUAUUAGUUAUAUAUAUUAUUACUAUUUUAUGUAUAUAUUUUUAUCUUUAUUACUAUUGUUAUUAAUCUUAGUACAUGUUUUAUAUAUGUAUGUAUAUAUCUCUAGUAUAUAUAUAGGUAUAUAUCCAUGUAGUAUUGUAAUAGGUUUUUAUUAUUUCCAAUAUGUAUAUACUAUGUAAAUAUUUUAACAUUUUUAUAUAUAUAUUGUGUGUAUGUAUCUUUAAAUAUUGCAUUUUUUAUAUAUGUUAUGUAUAUACCUCUAAUACCAUAUUAUUUGUAUAUUUUUAUUUUUCAUAUCUUCUUGAAUAAUAUUACAUAUAUAUAUCUCAUUUUAAUACCACAUCAUAUAUAUACUAUUAUUUUAUUUAUUUUUAUUCCUAGUAUAUUUAUUAUUAAUAUUAGUAUAUGUAUUUUAUUAUACGUAUAUAUAUAUUUUUUAUAAAUAGUAUUAUUUUCAUAUAUUCUUAUAUUUAUUAUUAUACUUAUUAUUUUAUUCUAAAUUACUAUGUAUUUAUUUUAAAAUAUAUGUAUAUAUUUGUGUAGUAUUGUUAAGGUAUAUAAUUUUUGUGUUAUUAGUAUUUAUAAUGUAUCUUGUAUGUUCAUUUUAUAUAUUAUGUAUGUAUAUAUUACAUAUGUAUUUUAGUAUUACUAUGUAUACACUUUUCACUCUUAUCAUUACACAUACUUUAAUAUAUAUAUGUAUAUAUAGAACUAUUAGUAUUCUUAAUAUUAUGUUUAUGUUACUUCAUUUGUUAUUGUUAUAUGUUUAUAUAUAUUCAUUGUUUUUAUUUCGUGUUUGAUACUAUUAUUAUGUUUAAUAUCGCAUAUAUCGUCGUUUCUUUUAAUAUUAUUGUCAUAUUCAUUAUUUGCUUCAAUGUAUUUCUAACUCUUUUAUUUUUCUAUUUCCCGCCCAUUUAUAUCAAUAUUGCUUUGCAUACUUCGAAAAUCUUAUUCUUGUUUUCUAAUUAAUUUCAAUACAUAAGGCAACGUAUCGGUUUAACACUAAGUCGUUGAUUUCAUAGCUAUGUUGGAUGAAUCAUAUCGGCUCGUGUUGAAAACGGAACGCCCUUCAAACAAAUCAAAAUUUGAAAUUUCUCGUCUUUUCAAUCGGAUCACGAUUAAAUGUUACAUCGAACUCGUAUUUUUGAAGUUUAAGACAACACGUGUUUAACAAGAUACCAAUUUUGGGCGUCACGAGGGUGCUAAUACCUUCCUCGUGCGUAACCGACUCUCGAACCCUAUUUUUCUCUGGAUUUUGACGUAGACCUAAACUCGGCCUCCUUUUAUUUUAAAAAUAAAUUUAUUAGGUGUCCGAUCACACCUAGGAAAAGAUCGGUGGCGACUCCUUCUUUGUUUUAAAAUCAAACUUCGGUUUUCAAAUGUUUAAUAAAUCGCCACAAUUAGCGACCGAGCUAAAUUUUUUUUUACGUCGCUACAGCUGGCAACUCCACUAGGGAUCCCUUUUUAAGAGUCGUGUCUGGAGUUAAACUCGCGUUGUCAAAAUUUUCAAAGUUCCUUGUUCAAAUUAACAUUUAGUCGUGAUCCUCAAAUUUUUGUUUUCAAAAAAAUCAUGCAUUUGCAUCGUGUUGUAUAUAUUCUAACUUGUUUUAUCUAGUUGUUUUUCAGCUUUAAAUUUUUGUGGUUUUAGUAUUGGUUUAGUUUUUAAAUAAAACGUAAAGGUUUGUGAGUUUCUCCCCACACACCGUGCACUUACAUUUUCGCAUAACAUGAGCUCUAUACUCGGGCUCCGUCCAUUUAAGUGAAAGUAAACGCUACGCCUUCGUGAGUUAACUCGUCCCUCCGCACAGGCUAGUGAAUACUUUCGAGUUACGUAUGACUUAUGCUUUCGUGAGUUAACUUGUCCCUCCGCAUAGGCAUAAGUAAAUAUAAUCCCUCGAAUUGAACUCGUGAGCCUGUGAUGGGCUAUGACCGAGGCUUCGUACUAAUCUUAGUAGAUGACAGUACAGACAAUUCGAGUACCUAUCUAGAACCAAAACCGCAUAUAAUAAACCAUACGAGCCACCUAACUAGAGCCAUGCCGAACCUCCGUUCGUUUAGUAGUCACCAAAAUAAGUGCACGGGAGGAACGCCUCUUACCUUUUGCAUUUUCACUUUCUAUACAACGGGAUUGAGUUUGUUUAACAAACUAGAUCGGGUAGUUCGAUUUGUUGAAUUCUCCAUGUUUUUCUGCCUGUAUUUAAUUACUAAUCAAGGUUGUUUGUCUUUGCCUUAUUGUUUUUCAUCAUGCAUUAUAGGCAUCAUAUUAGGAAGGUGUUGACUAGAGAUCGAUUGCCAAAAAACGGGUUUCUAAUGGAAGAGUCAAUUAUACAAACAACCGAGAAGAAUGUCGUGGUUCGGGAUUGGUCUCUAAAAAAUCAGAAAGAAAAAGGGGAUAGUCUAGUGGGGGGAUGUAUUGCCAAUCUGCCCGAGCACGUAACUGUGAAUGUUCGCCAGAAUAACCUUGAAGAUUUGGUUCGGGUUUGGAAUCAGUGGGACUCGAACACUAAGGGUAUCUUCACUGAGAGGUACAGAGAUAUAGCCCACUUGAUCACUUUCAACAUAGACGAGCGAUUGAUCCAAGCCAUGGUUAUAUUUUGGGAUAUGGCUUACCAAUGUUUUACCUUCAAUCGAGAGGAUAUGACUCCGACUAUAGAAGAGUACACUGCUUUACUUCACGUCGAUAAUGUACAACCCUAUAAGAUAUAUGUGAAAGAACCUAAGCUGAUGACCUUCAAGAAAAAAUUAGUGAGAUUGACAGACAUGACUGACGCGUGGGCCGAAAAAUAGAUAAGGAAGAAGAAUGAAACUAUUUGCAUUCCAUGGUCUUCCCUACGAGAUUUGGUUCUAAACUAUCCCGACAUGUUGAAAAGGAUAAAUCUAUUCUCUUUGGCCAUUUACAGUUUGAUCAUUUUCCUGAAAGUUCUCGAACAUCUUGAAGUUGCAGUAGUCGAUUUCUUUGAAAGGUUAAAAUAAGGAAUCAACCCUGUCCCGACAAUCCUAGCUGAGACCUUCAGAUCCCUGAGUAGUUGUCGAAGAAAAGGGGAAUGACGAUUUAUUGGAUGCGCGCAGUUGCUCAAUGUUUGGAUCUUGAGCUACUUCUGAAAGGUAGAGCGCACACUGUUCCAUAUGUUUUCAAAAAAAUUUGCCCCGUUGGAAGCUUAUCUCAAGAAAGAAUGGCCAAAGGAAGUCACUGAACAACAUUGGGUCUUAGUUUUUCAGAACCUUCGCGCCGAGGAUAUAACAUAGAGAGUACCGUGGAUACACCCUUCGGUUCUGCUAUACAAGGUCGGAGAUCAAGACUGAGUGCCACUACUAAGAUUAUGGGGAGGAGUUGGAUAUGCCCCGCUAUUAGUCCAAAGGAAAUUUUCUUCGUGAUAGUUUAUACCUGCCACCGGAGGAUUAGCACAGUCCGAGUUUGCCUUUACGGGUGAGGGAUAUAUGAAGAGAGUCUGAGACACUGCAAAGUCUUGGAAGAAAAUUUAUCUGAUGGAAUAGGCCCUAUAUGCUGAUACCCUAACCUUAGAUUACGACAUAUGGAGGAAAAAACAGGUGAAUAGUCAGCAAAUCUAGUCAACAAACUACACCGUCCAGAAUCCUUUCACGGAAGAAAUGCCGUCUGAGCUAGAAAUGGCAAGACAAGAAUUUGAAUGAGAAAAGGCCAAGAUGUCUCGGGACCUUAAUGCUCUUCAAGAGGAAAACUACCAAUUAAAGAUCGACGUUUAGAUUGAAAGAUCCAGAACCGAGAAAGUGUAAAAAGAGGCUGAAGUCGUAAGAAAUGACUUAAGAGAUCUUCAUCUGGAAAAUAAGAAGUUAAGAGGCACAAUAAAGAACAGUGGGCUAGGCAAGUCGUCGGCAGAAUGGAAAGAAGAAAUAAGCAACAUCAAAGGCGGGAUGGAAUUUUGGAAAGGAAAAGCGAAGAAAGAGGAGGAAAAAGCUGCAAGGGCUAUGAUAGAGCUAAGGAGGAAGAACGCUGAAUAUGAAACUGUGUCUGCCGAACUUACGAUUAGUCGAUCCGAACAUCGAGAGUUAAAAGAGAGAAUACGGGAAUUAGAAGAUAUGCUGCAAGAUCGUCAACAACAGUUAAAUACUCUCUUGGAAGCAUUGGAAGAAAAGAAUAGUCAAUAUGAUAGAGACGUUCGUGCUUACGAAGAGGGCCUCCAAGAAAAAGAAAUGCAACUUAGCUACUUGAUCAAUGAAAUUCGUGGGGUAGCCAUGCACGUGGUACAACUAUCAGAUGAAGUAGAGUAUCUCAGUUGCCAAUUCCCACCAAGUCAAAGAUCGAACAUAUCAGAAUUCUUAGCACGAGUAAAGAAAUAUGGCGAUAUAGCUAGGAAGUUCGUGUAAUGGCUGAAUCGAAAAUGGAAAAAUGUUUUGUAAUGAACUCUUUUGAUGAAUGAAAUGCCUAAAUAGGGGCUAUCUUGAAAUCAACACCAAUUUCUUACAUUUCUUUCAUGACUAACAUUCAUUUGACAUUUAUGCAUUCAUUCAUUCAUCCAUUCAUUCAUUGCAUAUCCCAUAAUUGUUCGCUGAGGUUAAAAUACAUAAUUCGCAGUCGCAAGACUUCAAAUCUAGAACCACGCCAUUCGUAUAGAAUGCGUCGACAGGCUAGAACAAUGGAGGCUGAAUUUAAUGAAAGGAUUGAGAGGAUAGAAAUAAUACAAAGGGAAUUACAAGAACAACUGGCCAAAUCGCAGCAAGAGACAAGAGACUUAAUGGUGAGAUCUCGAGAAGAAUCGUUCGAAUAGAAGGAUCAAAUGGCUUAGUUAAGGGAAAGGGACCUAUGUAGAGCCCUAAUGUCGAGGAACCUCGGUCAAGAGUUAAUCACAGUCAAGAUCCACUUUAUCCCCCAGGAUUCACUCCGCCGCACGCCCAUGCAAUACAAAGAGGGUACACCCAAGGGGAACCUACAGACCUGGAGCAACAGCCAGUGCCACCUACUCAUUUGGGGCAAGGAAUGUUUGUAUCAAACUCGAGGGCUAGUCCUGCUGAUCCACUCGUUCCAGAUUUAGACGAUCCAGCAGGGAUAGCCAGGUUGAAAUUGGAUAAUCACGAUGCAAAUGAGAAAUAUAGGAGCCUAGAGGAAAGGCUCAAGGCGAUAGAAGGCACUGAAGUCUUCUCCGCGCUAGGUGCUAAAGAACUCAGUUUGGUACCCGAUCUAAUUCUGCCUCCGAAGUUCAAGGUGCCUGAUUUUGAAAAGUAUGAUGGGACAAGAUACCCAAAAGUGCAUCUCAUCAUGUUUUGCCAGAAGAUGACCGGCUAUGUGAACGAAGAUAAGCUACUCAUACAUUGUUUUCAAGAUAGUCUAGUAGGAUCGGCUCUUCGGUGGUACAACCAGCUUAAUAAGGAAAAGAUCCGAUCCUGGAAAGACUUGGCAUUAGCAUUCUGUAAGCAGUACAAGCAUGUAUCAGAUAUGGUGCCAGACCAGAUGACUUUGCAAAUGAUAGAGAAAAAGCCGUCAGAAACUUUUAGACAGUAUGCGCAGAGAUGGAGGGACAUCUUGGCCCAAGUAGAACCCCCACUAACAAAAAUGGAGAUAACUGUUCUCUUUAUCAACACCUUAAAAGCACCGUUUUAUGACAAACUAGUGAGAAGUGCCACGAAGGACUUUGCGGAUAUUGUAAUAUCCGGUGAGCUUAUAAAGAAUGUCGUCAAGAGCGGUAGAAUGGAAGGUCAAGAAAGUUCAAGAAGGGCAGCGCCCAUGAAGAAGAAAGAACCAGAAGCCCAUAUGAUGGGAGUGAGAAGCCGUUAUACCCCUAAUCCAUAUCCAAAUUCACCCCGACCUCAAAAUUAUUCACUUCUGAAUUUCUAUUAUCCCCCUUAAACCCCUUACUACCAAGCACCACCUCCUUCCUACCCCGUAUACGCCAUGAACAACCAAAGACCCGUCACCACAUUCCUACAAAACACUGUACCCGCUCAAAGCCAGCCCAGAAAUGAACCAAGACCAGCAAGGCCUAAUCCUGAGAGACCGUAAUUUACUCCCAUCCCUGUGUCGUAUGGGGAAUUGUACCUAAAACUUUUAGAGAAACAGCUGAUUUCUCCCCAUUAUAUGGUACCCCUGAAACCCCCGUACCUGAAAUAGUACGAUCCAAACGCUAGUUGUGCAUACCAUGCGGGGAACCAGGGACAUUCCACGGAGAAUUUCCUAGCCUUUAAGAGGAGAGUUCAAGGACUCAUUGAUGCGGGUAUCCUGCGAUUCGAUAGUGCCAGUAAUGCAACUGGGAACCCGUUCCUUAACCAUACCGAAGGGAAUGCGAGCACAGUGUGUAACAUCCUGAUUUUCGGAUUUAUUCGCGGUUUUCAAUAUUUUGUGAAGAUUUUAAAAUCUUGUAUUUGGAUGUGAAAUUAAUAUUUUGAGUAGGUAAAUGGGCUUAUAGAAGGCCCAUGUGUUGGCCAAAACCCAGUUGAAUUUUUGAAUUUUGGACUUAAAAGGUUAGGGGUUCUGGCUAAGUGGCCUUAAGUGGAGUGAUGGGUAAAUUGCAUCACAAAAAGAGCCUUGGUAAAGUGGCCAGGGUGACGCCACUAGGCUCCUAAAAAGGUGGCGUGUGGAGCUUUGAGGGAGGCAUGGGAUCGAUUCCCUGUGUUGACAAAUAGAUGCAUUUAUUUUUAAGUGCAGGAUGGGUAGUGUUGGAGUCCAAGUAGAUUCUGCUAAAGGAGAGUUUGGAUUAGUCCAAACGCUUGGAUUAAGGAGUGAUAAGGGGAGAGAUUUAAGGGAUAUGGAGAGAGGCUAAGAGUUGGCCGAAUUUAGGGAAUUGAAGAGGGAAAAUUCGGCAGAGGGUUUAGGUAAAAUUUCAGCACCUAGGGCUUUGUGAGGUGCCGUUUUCUUCUGCUCAGGCACCACAAGGGUUUCUUUUUCUCUCUUCUUCCUCUCUAGCCGAAACUACCACCUCCCCUAUUCUUGUUUUUUCUAUUUUUCUUCUUCAAAACCAUUCAUCAUACCUGCUAUUCAUCAGCACCUUUGCCGAAGUCGCAAAAGCCGAAAUCCUGUGAUCACUGCUUGUGCCGAUUUCUUCAAAGCCAGGUCCUUCUAUGUUCUUUUAUUUUUAUUAAAUCUACGAUUAUCUUUUCUUAAUCCUAGAUACCUGACGGCAAUUUUACUUCAAGGUUAUAGUUCCAUAUUGUCAUCUCCUUCAUCACCCAAAAGUCGAAAAACCAUAGAUUUGGGGACUUAUAGCCGAAACUUCAAGACUUUAGGAGUCGAGUUCUACCGUCGUUUGAUAGAUAAAUCUACACCAGAUUGCGUGGAGAUCAAAAAGGAGUAAGGGGUAAGUGUUCAUCAUCUCAGAUCUGGUCAUAUUUUACAAAGAUAGGAAAAGUCGAAGUCCCUAAAAUCUAGGGAGGCUGUCGACUUGGGCAUGUGGCUCUAAGGGUUUUUAACUGACAUUUUCUGUCAAUUAUUAGUGUCUUCUUAAGUGUUGGAUUGAAGGCGUGGGUUGUUGGAGCAAUCGGAUUCGGAGAUAGCUAUCGAUUUUGGCAAAAAGGUAAGGUUUCAAAGGCUUUUAGGGACAUGAUUCGAUCAUGGAUAAGUAAGUUUCGGGGUUUAGUGAUUAUGGUUUGUAAAUAAGAACUGUGCUAAUCAAUUGUAGGACAUCGGAAGAGAUCUCAGUAGCAGUCGUCGCAAAUCAGGUGUGUACCGAACACCCUUUCUUAGUUCAAUUCGGCAAAAGCCGAAAUGCCGAAAUUCUAGCAUUUCAUAGGCUUGUGAGUAUGCGAAUGCUCUCAAGACAUAGAGUAAUUGUUAGAUCUAGCACCGCAAAGUGGUAGGUAAGUUCGUGUGACAUUUUAGCGUACUUCGGAAAAAGAGGCCAGAUGGGCCAAAACUGGGCCCAAUGGGCUUACGGACCAAUAUGGGUAAGAGAUGAGAAAAGUAGCAUGUUAGUUAGAUGGUGGAACCAAAUUGCAUAAAACGGCUAAAAAUUUCUGAAAUAACGUGUGUAGUUGCAUAAGUACGAAAUUACCCCUAAAUAGCAUAAUUACCGAAAUACCCCUAGGGUUUAAAUUGGCUAAACUGCAUGAUUGAUUAAUACUGUAUUGUACAUGAUAUGCUUUAUUAAUACCUGUUGCAUGGGAUUGGGUUAUUGAUGGAGGAAGUAUUGAAAGUGGUUUAUCCACGUACUGGAGGCUUUGCCUCAACUUACUGAUAUUUGAGCAGCGUUGCUGCAACUAUGGAGUGUAGGGCUGGGUGGGUUGAGAUAUUCCCCACAUGGAGUGUAGGGCUGGUACGGAGCAGUGUAGCGGUUGGUGGGUUGAGUAGUCUCCCCAGUUGGGCUUGCAUGCAUUACUACUAUUGUUACCUAUGUUAUUGAACUGGGCCUAUGGGCCACAUUGUUAUGUUAAAAAGGGCUAAGGCCUUGCUACUGUAUUCUGAAAAGGGCUUCGGUCCACUAUAUACUGUUAUCUGAAUAGGGCUUAGGCCCAAUGGGCUCGAGCUGAUUUGGGCUUUGGAUGGGUUUCUGUAUACACUGAGUUUUCCCAAACUCACCCCUUCCUCUUCCAUCCUUGCAGGUGAGCCCUAGUUGGUGGACUUGGAGCUGGGCGGGAUUCAGAGUGGCCAUGAAGAUUGAUUGCCGAUUUUAAAUAAGUUUAGCAUUUAAUUUGGAUUAUUUUUAUUGUGCUUAAAGUUGUAAUAAGGCCGCUCUUUUUAAUUAAUUUUAUUUUGGGGAUUAUUAAACUGGUCAGCACUAGGGUUCGUUUUAUAAAAACUACUUGUUUUUAAAAGAUCACGAUGACGCGCAAAGUUUCCGCAAAGUAAAUGUUUUUCCAAGAAAAUAAAUAUUUUAAGCAAACGUUUUUCAACCUUAAUCACUUUCUUAAGAUGGACAUAAUCAAACGGUUUUCUCAAAAUUAUACGAGAUGUUAGAGUGUGGCAAUGGUGGUGUGCAUGUCUAGGAUUGGAUCCGAAGGGAGCUUGGUACUUAAGCAGUCUGACGGACUCACCUCCUCUUCUUCCUGGUUUCCUACUUGGUGCACAGCUUCCGUUCACUUUAACCUACUUUUAAAAGUGUCUUUUACAACACCAACUAAAUCUUUCCAAACUAAGUAAUACGGAAUGUUUUGAACACUUCGAUGUGGCGCAUCAGAUCCGGUCAUAACGUCUAGGCUGGGUUUGGGGUGUUACACAGUGGGGAAAAAGGACGAAUGGCAAGUUAGAAGAUGUGUUUCGAAAAUAAGGACGCCUCUGCAGAAAAUCUGGGAGGUACUGGUUAAGAAAUGAUUGCUCUGUCACCCCGAUAGAAUUCUCGGAGAAGAAGGUCAAAGUUUUUGCAAUUUUCAUGGAAUUUUAGGACAUGACAUUCAGUCAUGUAAAGAUUUUAAAAGAUUGCUUCAAGACCGGAUAGAUAAUAAGGAUAUCAAGGUCCUUAACAAGAGGGAAGAGGCCAAUGAAAGAGAAGUAUGCGCCUCUGAUAGCCAGUCAUCAGGUCUCCUUUAUAGCACUGAUCGACCGUUAGUAAUUUAUUACGACGUGACGAAGGUGCCGGUGAAACCAAAAGUGAUAAUUGAAGUACCGUCUCCUUUCCCUUACAAGGACGAUAAAGCGGUACCAUGGAAAUAUGACAUCAAUAUCGUCACACCUGAAGGUGAAAAGUCUAAAGCCAUAACUGGAGAUGUUGGGGAGGUAGGUCAUUUACCCGAAGUGAGCGGUGCUAUUCUAAAGAAAUCGAACUGGCAAAGAAAAACAGCGACUCGAAGAAAAAAGGAAAGACAGUAAUGUACGAGGCCGAAGUCGAACAGGAAGCUCCAUCCGUGCAAGAAACUAAAAAGCCUGUGGAUGAGGAGGAAGCACAUGAGUUCCUGAAAUUUAUCAAGCACAGUGAAUACAACGUGGUGGAAUAAUUGGGUAAGCAACUAGUACGAAUCUCGAUGUUAUCUCUACUGUUGAAUUCAGAACCACACCGGAACGCUCUGCUGAAAGUGUUAAAUCAAGCUUAUGUGGCAAACAACAUAUCUGUUGAAAAGCUUGAUAGGUGGGUGAAUAAUCUGAACGCUAACAACUUCAUCUCUUUUAGUGAUGAUGAGAUACCACCAAACGGUAGAGGCUCAGUGAAAGCACUGCAUAUUACGACUCGCUACAAGGGCUACAUAAUACCGAACGUGCUUAUCGAUAAUGGGUCGGCACUCAAUGUCAUGCCUUUGGCCACGCUUUCCAGAAUUCCGAUGGAUCUGUCCUAUUUAAGGCCCUGUCACUCUACAGUAAGGGCAUUCGACGAGACAAGACGUGAAGUCAUGGGAAAGAUUGAGAUUCCUCUAGAAGUGGGCCCUUAUAUAUACGAUGUUGAAUUUCAAGUCAUGGACAUUACACCAUCAUACAAUUGCCUCUUGGGAAGACCUUGGAUCCAUUCUACUGGAACAGUUCUGUCCUCUCUCCAUCAAAAAGUGAAGUUUAUCAUGGAUGGUUGUUUGGUCACUGUCGAGGGAGAAGAAGACAUUGUCGCAUCUAUCUCUGCUGAUGCACCGUACCUGGAAGUGAGCAAAGAUGCAAUAGAAUGUUCCUUCCGAUCCUUUGAGUUUGUCAAUGCCACUUUUGUCGCUGAGGGAAAUAGAAUUUCGGUGCCAAAACUGUCAAGAAAUGCCAGAAUGUGAAUCAAGCUGACUGUAGGAAGGGGAGCUCGAGCGAGAAGAGGUUUAGGGAGAUAUCUGCAAGGAACAGUCAGGGCUCUAAAGCCAGUACACCACAAGGCCCGAUACGGUUUGAGGUUCCAGCCAGACAUGCGUCAAAGAAGAAAACAAUGGAAGAAAGAUCAAGGAAGAAGGAUCGCAAGAACCUUAGGCCGAAAAGUAGAAUGGGAGCCCAUAACGUACCCUCCUUCAUCAAAAACAUUUACAUCUGUAGGAAUGAUAUACCCUGGACAAGAUAAUCCAUGAAGCACGCUGUUAUUAAUUGAAAGGGGUCUUCAGAAUGUCAGUAUAAAUAUCAUUAACAAAGGAAGUGAUGCAAUUAAGAAUGUUUCAAUGAUACGCUAUUGUCCUCCUGGAUUCGUUUUAAACAAUUGGGCUGCUGUGGAUCUCCUUGUAGUUUCUAAGUCCUCUCCAGAGUAAUGCUCAAUGUUAACACUCUUUUUGUGUGCCCCUAAGUAAUAGUAGGGAUUCUUUUAUAAGAGCUUAUGAUUUGCUCUUUAUCAUUUAAAUGAACAUCAAUGAAGAUGCAUUUUUGUCACGAUCUUUCGCAUUAUCAUUAAUUUCAUAAUCAUUUUCUCAUUUCAUAGCCUAUCCUUACAUUUGCCUCAUGCCAUGCCAUAACAUUUCGUUUGUUGGUUCCAAUACUUGGAUGCCCCUCUAUAGUUUCCUUUUCCAUUCAACUUUCAGGUGCUCAGAUAUCAAUGACAUGAACAAACCCAUUACGAGUCCUGAAAUAGAUUUUGAGAAGGCUGUUUGUUUAGGAGAAUUCGAAGUCGAAGAAAAUACUGAAGACUAUGUCUCGUCUUCUGACUUGCUAAGAAUGGUGGAACAAGAGGAUAAACAGAUUUUGCCUCAUCAAGAAUCUAUUGAAACAAUAAAUCUGGGAACGAAAGAAAGGAAGCAAGAAGUGAAGAUUAGGACCUCUAUUUCAGAGGACACCAGGCAUAAUUUGAUUGCUUUGCUCUGCGAGUACAAAGAUGUAUUCGCAUGGUCAUAUCAGGACAUGCCAGGAUUGGAUGAAGAUGUAGUGGUCCAUAAGCUCCCAUUAAAGCUAGAAUGCAAACCCAUUCAACAAAAGCUAAGACGGAUGAGACCUGAGAUGUUGUUGAAAAUAAAAGAGGAAGUCAAGAAGCAAUUUGAUGCUGGCUUCCUACAAGCCUCUAAAUAUCCAGAAUGGGUGGCUAACAUAGUCCCGGUACCAAAGAAAGACAGUAAAGUUCGAAUGUGUGUGAAUUAUCGUGACUUGAAUCGAGCAAGUACUAAAGAUAAUUUUCCCUUACUACACAUUGAUACGUUGGUGGAUAACACAGCAAAACAUUCAUUGUUUUCUUUCAUGGAUGGAUUCUCGAGGUAUAAUCAAAUCAAGAUGGCCCCUGAGGAUAUGGAGAAAACUACUUUCAUAACAAUGUGGGGAACAUUCUGCUACAAGGUAAUGCCGUUCGGAUUAAAGAAUGCUGGGACAACAUAUCAGAGGGUUAUGGUGACGUUAUUCCAUGACAUGAUGCAUAAAGAAAUAGAGGUCUACGUCGACGAUAUGAUUGCUAAAUCCCGAGGGGAAGAAGAGCAUGUAGUGAACUUGAAGAAGUUGUUCGACAGACUGAGAAAGUUUCAACUAAAGCUCAAUCCGGCCAAAUGUACAUUUGGGGCAACCUCGAGAAAAUUGCUAGGCUUCAUCGUCAGCGAAAGAGGUAUCGAGGUUGAUCUAGAUAAAAUAAAAGCCAUUCAAGAGUUACCACCUCCGCGCAUACAAAAGAAAGUCAGAGAAUUUUUAAGGAGGUUAAACUACAUCGCCCGAUUCAUCGCUUAACUUACCAACCAGUGUGAUCCAAUCUUCCGGCUUCUUCGAAAGCAUAACCCUGGAGAAUAGAAUAAGGAAUGCUAGGUGGCCUUUGAUAAGAUAAAUUAAUAUUUUUCUAGUCCUCCGGUGCUAGUACCGCCAACUCUGGGAAGACCAUUGAUUUUGUAUUUGAUUGUGUUUAAAAAUUCAAUGGGUUACGUACUGGGGCAACACGAUGAGUCAAGAAAGAAAAAAAAGGCGAUCUACUACCUCAGCAAAAAGUUCACUGAAUAUGAGGCAAAGUAUUCGUCCAUUGAAAAAUACUGUUGCGCUCUGGUUUGGGUAGCUCGAAGACUCAGGCAAUAUAUGUUGUAUCAUACAACAUGGUUAAUUUCAAAGUUGGACCCAAUAAAAUACAUGAUGGAAUCACCUACACUAUCAGGAAGAAUGGCACGAUGGCAGAUUCUCCUAUCGGAAUACGACAUUGCCUAUGUGAGUCAAAAGUCAAUAAAAGGAAGCACAUUAGCUGACUUCUUAGCAACUCGAACAAUGGAGGAAUACGAGUCAUUGAGGUUUGAUUUCCCUGAUGAGGACUUGAUGUGCAUUACAGAAAAAGAGUGUGAGUCAUCAAAAGAGAAGUCAUGAAAGAUGAGCUUUGAUGGUGCAUCAAACGCAUUGGGGCAUGGGAUCAGAGCAGUUUUAAUAUCACCAGAAGGAAACCAUUAUCCAUUCACUGCCAGAUUAAACUUCUUCUGCACCAAUAACAUAGCGGAAUAUGAGGCUUGUAUCAUGGGACUUCGUGCAGCAAUUGAAUGAAACAUCAAAACUUUAGAGGUAUACGGAGAUCAGCGUUGGAGAUAUACCAAAUUCGUGGAGAUUGGGAAGUGAGAGAUUCGAAACUGGUUAAAUACAGUGAUCUAGUGGCAGAGCUGAUUAAAGAAUUCGAAGAAAUAACUUUUAAUUAUUUCCCGCGAAAAGAAAACCAAUUGGCUGAUGCCCUAGCCACUUUGGCUUCAAUGUUCAAAGCAAACAAAGAAACAGAAAUAAUGCCUCUUCAAAUGGGCAUAUAUAAAGCACCUGCACAUUGUUUCAGCAUCGAAAAAGAGCCAGAUGGACGGCCAUGGUUCCAUGAUGUCUUAGAAUAUAUCAAGAAUCAAAGGUAUCCCAAACAAGCAAAUGAAAAUGACAAAAGAACAAUUAGAAGAAUGGCAGCGGGAUUUGUUCUUGAUGGGGACAUCCUGUAUAAAAGAGGAAAAGAUCAGGUGCUCUUGAGAUGUGUGGAUGCUGUUGAGGCCAGAAAAAUACUUGAAGAUGUCCAUGAGGGAAUUUGUGGGACACAUGCCAAUGGUUUCACUAUGGUCAGGAAGAUUAUGAGACUCGGUUACUACUGGCUGACGAUGAAAAGUGACUGCAUUAGUUUUGCAAGAAAAUGCCACAAAUGCCAAAUUUGCGGCGAUAAAAUUCAUGCAGCCCCUUCACCCCUUCAUGUCAUGACUUCUCCGUGGCCUUUUUCUAUGUGGGGCAUGGAUGUUAUAGGGCCAAUUUCACCAAAAGCUUCUAACGGACACCGAUUCAUUUUUGUGGUUAUUGACUACUUCACAAAAUGGAUAGAAGCCGCAUCGUUUGCCAAUGUGACGAAAACUGUAGUUUGCAGGUUUUUGAAAAAGAAAAUCAUUUGUCGGUAUGGUUGCCUGAAAGAAUCAUUUCAGAUAACGCCUUGAAUCUGAACAACAAGAUGAUGAAACAAGUGUAUGGGCAAUUUCAAGUAAAGCAUCAUAACUCAUCACCUUAUCGCCCGAAAAUGAACGGAGUUGUUGAAGCGACCAACAAGAAUAUUAAGAAGAUUAUUGGGAAAAUGACCGAGACAUAUAAAGAUUGGCACGAGAAGCUACCAUUUGCUUUGUAUGCAUAUCGCACAUCUGUGCGGACAUCGAUGGGAGCAACUCCUUUCUCUUUGGUCCAUGGAAUGGAAGCUGUGCUACCUAUCGAAGUUGAGAUCCCUUCUCUACGUGUCUUAAUGGAGUCUAAAUUAGAGGAAGCAGAGUGGGUUCAAGCUCGAUAUGACCAGUUAAACCUUAUCGAAGAAAAACGUCUGAAGGCAAUUUGUCAUGGACAGAUGUACCAGAAGAGAAUAAUCGUGGCCCAUGACAAUAAAGUACGACCAAGAGAAUUCCAUGAAGGAGAACUCGUGCUGAGAAAGAUUCUCCCAAUACAAAAAGACUUGUAAGAAAAAUGGGCGCCGAAUUGGGAAGGACCAUACGUCGUAAAGAAGGCAUUCUCGGGUAGAGUUUUGAUUCUCACUGAGAUGGAUGAGAAGGAGUUACCGAAUCCAGUGAACUCAGAUGCUGUGAAGAAAUAUUAUGCCUAAAAAAAGGGAUCAAGGUGAAAACCCAAAAAGGGCGUCUUGAUUAGCACAAAAGAUUAGGAUGAAAACCCGAAAGGGCGUUCUACUGAAGCAAGCACUGGUUAAAAAAGUAAGGCAUUUUGAACUGUGGGUCAAGCAGAGAGACUACAAUAUUUGAAGCAUUUCUGAAAGCUCGAAAUCUUCUACGCAAGAAGCCAUGCUUGAAAGGAUUCUUGAUUGAGAAACGUGGAAGAGUUCAUGCGUUGAAUAUCCAGAGCAUUUGUAUCCGUUGAAUGCGAUCCCUUUUCUCUUUAUGACAUUUUUUUUACUAUCAUUGAUUAACUUUCUUUGUUUGCUUCAUUUGAAAUGAAUAAAUGUGAGGUAUCCUUUUGUCCCUACCUGACCAUUUUCAUGCAUCUUAUUAUAUGGCUCAUUUACAUGAUAAAUAGUGAAAUGACAUACUCUAAACAAAAGAAAUGUUAAGCAUUACCUGGAUAAGAAUUUGAUAAGUACAAGAGCCUCAAAGCAAGGACUAAGUUCAACCAGGGGCAAAAGGGUGAUAUCUGAGAAACGUAGAUUACUCGUGAAGCCAGAAGACGGGUACAGGGCCUAAAGAGAAAGUCAAAAGUUGAAUCAAUGAAUGCAGAUCAUCACAAGGAUCAUAACAAAAAGAGACAUAUGACUAACAUGCCUAAGGCGCAUAGCAUAAUCAUGUAGGCAUAAAGGCAUUUAAGACAAACAUGUGCAUAUCAUGAUAACAUCAUACAUGACAUAUACAGCUAAUCCAAUAGAGCAAGAGGAUAUGAUGAUAGCUGUACUGAAUCAAAGGAAAAGACACUUGAGUUCCACCAGAUGACAGGUUUUGGUAUUUUGAUGUUUUUAUUUCUGUUUUCAAAAUUCAACUCAUAUUGCGAGAAAUGAGUUGAGCCUCAGGGCACGCUAAGGUAUUUUCAAUUUCUGCUUUUCAAAUUCUGCCUUUCAAAAAAAUCAACUCAUAUUACGAGAGGUGAGUUGAGCCUCAGGACACGCUGAGGUAUUUUCAAUUUCCAUUUUUCGAUUUAUGUUUCAAAGAAAUCAACUCAUAUUGUGAGAGGUGAGUUGAGCCUUUUAAUUUCUGUUUUUCAAAAAUCAACUCAUAUUGCGAGAAGUGAGUUGAGCCUUUUAAUUUCUAUUUUUCAAAAAUCAACUCAUAUUGCGAGAGGUGAGUUGAGCCUUUUAAUUUCUGUUUUUCAAAAAUCGACUCAUAUUGCGAGAGGUGAGUUGAACCUUUCAAUUUAUAUUUUUUCAAAAAAUCAACUCAUAUUGCGAGAGGUCAGUUGAGCCUCGGGUCAUAUGUCGAGGUAUUUUCAAAAUCUUCUUUCCAAAAUUAAGUUUCAAAAAAACCAACUCAUAUUGCGAGAAGUGAGUUGAGCCUUGGCUUCACGUGCUGAGCUAUUUUCAUUUUCUGUUUUUAAUGUCUGUUUUUAAAGAGUCAAUUCAUAUUGCGAGAAAUGAGUUGAGCUCAAGAUCACAUGCCGAGCAAGAAUAAAGAUUGAAGUUGAUUGAAGACACCAGAGUUGGCCUCUCUGAAGUUGCGAUGGAGCAGGUCAAAGUUGCAAGUCUUGCUUCCCUGAAGUUGCGGUGGAGCAGGUCAAAGUUGCAAGUCUUGCCUCCCUGAAGUUGCAGUGGAGCUGAUCGAGGAUAUCAGGUUUUGCCUUUCUAAAGUUACAGAAGAAAAGACCACAAACCCUAUCUCACUGAAGCGAUAGAAGAGCAGAUUGAAGAUUAGAUUGAAGCUACAAGGCGUAUAUCAGAAGAUGCAGUGGAUUGAACCAAAGCUACAAGAUGCGGUGGACUGGAAGGAGACUACCUGAACAAGAAGAGCACUAAAGAAGUCAAGACUCGGCAAGACGGGGCAAAAUUGUCCUGUCAUUAUAUCUUUGCUCUAUUCCCGUUACACGACAAUAAGCAAAGAGGGGCAGCUGUUGCAGGCCAAUUUUGACAUACCAUUACAAAAGCCCAUUUACAUUAAACCAAUACCCAAUACAAAACAGCUCAAAUUACCCACUUAACAACCUCUAAACCCAGAACCCAAUACAUUACGCAAACCCCUUAACCCAUUUUCAAACCCAUACCCGAAGCCCACCUAAUCUAACCCAACCUAACCCAAAACCCAGAAGCCCAAAACCCCAGGACCCAAAUCAGAAAACACCAAACAACCCUAACCCCUAUUCCCACUUGGCCACCUACCCUCUGCGCCCCCAUGCCCCUGACUGUCGGCAAACUGCUCUGCAAGCACCACCGUUCACCUGCAAAGAAGAGACAAAUAAUAAUAGAAAAUUGUAUGUGAUUUGGCUUUAAAAAGCCUGAACCGAAAUCAAAACAGGGGGAUUUUUUUUCUUGAAAAAAAUACAAAGAGAAAGAACAUUCGGCAAGUUCAAUCAAAGAAAAUACAAAACCCAUUCGUUUUUAGCAAAUAUCACUUCCAUCAGCAUUUAAAUACAAUAAUAUCAUCAAAUCAAACAAAUAUAUCAGAGAUUAAAGAAACAAAAAACGAUAAGACCUAAGGUAAUUUUUUUUCUCUUUACUGUUUUGGGUUUUUUUUACACAUAAAUACUUAAAAGAAUUACAAAUAUACAUAUAUUAUAAAAAAUAUAAAUUUUACCUUCUCGGCCGGCGCCGGCGACGGACGGCGGCCAGUGAGGGUCCAGUGACGGGCCCCCUGGCCGGGUUUCCCUCUCCCUCUCCCCUUCUCUCCUUUUUUUUCUCUUCUCCCCUAUCAAAUGAAUUUUUUCAAAAAAUUUUAUCUUUUAUAGGGGACCAAAACGCACCGUUUUGGUCCCCCCCGGUUUAACCAAAUACGGUGCCGUUUUGGGCCCCGAGUCUGGUCGACCAGACGCGCUUCAGCAAGGAUCCGCGUGUUUUUUAGGGAGGGGUUAUUUGCGCGUUUAACCCCUCCGCUUUUUAAACGUUUUGCAAUUAAGUCUUACAUGUUUUUUAAUUCGGCCCUGUAAUUUUUCACGGAUUUCGAUUUAGCCCGUGCUGCAUAGCGUUUUGGAAAAAUUCGUAAUGUUGUGCUUUUGAUUCCCCUUAGUGUUGCCCUUGUUCAAAUAAGUCCUUUUCUUUGUUUUUAUUUUUAAAAUUGCCCCAAAACUUUGUUUUUGUUUUAAAUUUAGUCCUUUCUUUAGAUUUAAGUUUAUUUUCGUAUUGUCCUUAUUUUCUUUUUUUUUAUAUAUUAUUACUGUUAUUUUUAUUCCUCUUAUAUUUAUUAUUAAUAUAUAUUAUUAUAGUUACUACUAUAUAUAUUACGUAUAUAUAUUUUUUAUAUUGUAUCUAUGUAAUAUAAUUACUAAGUUUUUUAAACAUUAAUAGUAUUUAUAUUUGUAUAUUAUGUAAGUGUUCUAAUACUAUAUCAUAUAUACAUAUGCAUUUUUCAUAUUAAUAUAUAUAUGUUUUUAAUAUUAUAUUAUCAUGUAUAUGUUUUAAUAUUAUUAGCUAUCUAUCUUUCAUACUAUCUUAUGUACAUUUCUAAUACCAUCAUAUAUUAUAACAUCAUUAUUAUUUAUAUAUAUAUAUGUACGUAUCUAUAUAGCGUACGAAUAGUCUUUUUUUAUUAUCAUUUCUAAUAUAAAUAUAUAUAUCAUAUAGGUUUAUAUACAUAUCAUACAUGUUUCUUUAUUUUUAUUUAUAUUAGUUAUAUAUAUUAUUACUAUUUUAUGUAUAUAUUUUUAUCUUUAUUACUAUUGUUAUUAAUCUUAGUACAUGUUUUAUAUAUGUAUGUAUAUAUCUCUAGUAUAUAUAUAUAGGUAUAUAUCCAUGUAGUAUUGUAAUAGGUUUUUAUUAUUUCCAAUAUGUAUAUACUAUGUAAAUAUUUUAACAUUUUUAUAUAUAUUGUGUGUAUGUAUCUUUAAAUAUUGCAUUUUUUAUAUAUGUUAUGUAUAUACCUCUAAUACCAUAUUAUUUGUAUAUUUUUAUUUUUCAUAUCUUCUUGAAUAAUAUUACAUAUAUAUAUCUCUUUUUAAUACCACAUCAUAUAUAUACACUAUUAUUUUAUUUUAUUUUAUUCCUAGUAUAUUUAUUAUUAAUAUUAGGAUAUGUAUUUUAUUAUAUGUAUAUAUAUAUUUUUUAUAAAUAGUAUUAUUUUCAUAUAUUCUUAUAUUUAUUAUUAUACUUAUUAUUUUAUUCUAAUAUUACUAUGUAUUUAUUUUAAAAUAUAUGUAUAUAUUUGUGUAGUAUUGUUAAGGUAUAUAAUUUUUGUGUUAUUAGUAUUUAUAAUGUAUCUUGUAUGUUCAUUUUAUAUAUUAUGUAUGUAUAUAUUACAUAUGUAUUUUAGUAUUACUAUGUAUACACUUUUCACUCUUAUCAUUACACAUACUUUAAUAUAUAUAUGUAUAUAUAGAACUAUUAGUAUUCUUAAUAUUAUGUUUAUGUUACUUCAUUUGUUAUUGUUAUAUGUUUAUAUAUAUUCAUUGUUUUUAUUUCGUGUUUGAUACUAUUAUUAUGUUUAAUAUCGCAUAUAUCGUCGUUGCUUUUAAUAUUAUUUUCAUAUUCAUUAUUUUCUUCAAUGUAUUUCUAACUCUUUUAUUUUUCUAUUUCCCGCCCAUUUAUAUCAAUUUUGCUUUGCAUACUUCGAAAAUCUUAUUCUUGUUUUCUAAUUAAUUUCAAUACAUAAGGCAACGUAUCGGUUUAACACUAAGUCGUUGAUUUCAUCGCUAUGUUGGAUGAAUCAUAUCGGCUCAUGUUGAAAACGGAACGUCCUUCAAACAAAUCAAAAUUUGAAAUUUCUCGUCUUUUCAAUCGGAUCACGAUUAAAUGUUACAUUGAGCUCUCAUUUUUGAAGUUUAAGACAACACGUGUUUAACAAGAUACUAAUUUUGGGCGUCACGAGGGUGCUAAUACCUUCCUCGUGCGUAACCGACUCCCGAACCCUAUUUUUCUCUGGAUUUUGACGUAGACCUAAACUCGGCCUCCUUUUAUUUUAAAAAUAAAUUUAUUAGGUGUCCGAUCACACCUAGGAAAAGAUCGGUGGCGACUCCCUCUUUAUUUUAAAAUCAAACUUCGGUUUUCAAAUGUUUAAUAAAUCGCUACAAUUAGCGACCAAGCUAAAUUUUUUUUUUACGUCGCUACACCAAUUAUAAAGAUAAAAAAUAACUUCAUCAUCAGAUUUACAUCAACAUGCAGGCCAGAGGUAAAUAUUAUGUUGUCAAGGGCACAAGGCAUAAAUUUGGCACUAGAACCCUUAUCUUUUCUGAGGCACAAGGUGCAAAAAUCUUGAGUGAAGUAAUGUGCAACAUGACUGUGCGUGUCUAAAAACAUGCAAAAUAUUUUUUUCUUUAUUGGUCUGUAAGCACAAUUUCCUUUGGGUCUCAUGUCCAUUGUUGAAUGCUCAAGUAUACAAAAGUAAGUUUGAUAUUAUCCCCUUUCUUAUCGGUAAAAGUAUCUUAACACCUUUUGAUCAAAAAGAAAGAGUGAAACACCAGAAAAUUUUAAGUUCAUGUCAAUAUGUCUGGUUGUUUAACCCUAAAAUCAACCAUAACUUCAUUUAUUAAAAAAAAAACUUUCACGAUGAUAACAUCCAUGUUUAAAGCAUUUCUGUGCACCUUUCAUGAUUAAACAACACAAGGUUUUUAGGAAUGUAAAGUAUAAGAAAGCAAAAAUAUAUAUCUAUAAAAAAAUAAAAGGAAAAAAGGCAAGCAACAACCAAAGCUGACAACAGAACAACAUUAAUAUACUUCUGAAAUUAUUAUUCCUGUAUGCUUUUACCAAGCACUUAGUAAUCAUAAUAUAGUUAAGAAUAUCCACAAUAAACAUUAAUGUUCAUACUUGGAGGUCUGGUAGGAGGCUCUGACGUAAUAUGGAACUUCUGAUAAUUACAAAGAAUUUCACAAAUUUAAGCAGGUCUUAACCAUCUAUGCUGCGCUUCUAGUAAAAUCUGUUCAAUAUCUACAAAUCAGGAAACAAAAUAUAAUUAGUAAAAGAUUCAUUGGCACAAGCAAACAUAUAACAUGGAGAAAUAAACCAUGAAAAACUUGAUCCAUAUUAAGAGUUCACACCUGUCCAAGAGACAGAGAAACCUAUUUUAGCAAAAAGCUUCACUUGUAUUAUCAUUAAAUAACAUUCCUUACCUAUAUUCCACUCUCAAAAACUCAAGAAAGUUGGAUAAUGAAUGUUGUUGGCCAAUUUUGGCACGUUUACAUCAAAAUCCCAUUAAUACCCUAAGCCAAUUUACAUUAAAACCCAACUAAUCCCGAAACCCUAACCCUAACCACCUAGCUGAAUCAACCUCCCCACUUGCCUCUACUAGCUCUGUAGCACUGCCUUUGUCCCAUUAGCAAGUUGUACCUGCAAGAAAAGAAAGGAAGUGACAAAAAUAAUAGAAAAACAUUCUGUAAAAGGCUAUAAAAGCCGAUUUAAAACUUUGUAAACAAGGUCGGCAGUUCAUGAAUACAAAAACCAUAGUUUUAAACAUAAAGCAGUGAUUCGAACACCACAAAAAUCAGAGAAUCACGAUACCAAAAAAUCAAAUCGAAGCACUAAAAGAGGUGGUUUUAUCAUUUAUUUUCUCAUUUUCAAUUUUUUUUCUUUUUCUUUUAUUUUUUUUCUUUUUCUUUUAUUUUUUUCUUCUUUUUUCUUUCAAAUUUGUUAUACAUAUUUAAUAAAUAAAAAGGAAAAUAAAAAAAAAUAAAAAAAGGAAAACUUUUACCUUUUCCGGUCACCGUGCACGGUGGCCGACUGCGGCGGCCGGCGACGGUCCGACGACCGGAUGGUGACCGACCAUACGGCCAAAAAUCGCACCUCUCCCCCUCCCCUCUCUUUUUUUUCUUCACUCCGCUGCAAAUGAAUUUUUUUUGAAGAAAAAAGGCCUUUUAUAGCCCCCCAAAAUGACGUCGUUUUGAACAUGACCCAAUCUGUCCAACCCGACCCGCCUCAGGAUCCGCAUGUUUUUGUAUAAUGGUCUAAUUGCGCAAAUGGCCCUUCCGCUUUUUCUAUGUUUUGCAAUUAAGUUUCUGUAUUUUUAAAAUCGGCCCCAUAAUUUUGUUUGGAAUUCAAAUGAAUCCUCGUUGAUGUGACGUUGUUUUAAAGGCUUGGGAAUAUUGCGCUUUUGGUCCGUUGCAGUUUGUGUGUGUUCAAAUAAGCCCUUUUCUCUUUAUUUCUUUUUAAAUCUACCCUAGAAUUCUGUUUUUCAUUCAAUUUUAGUCCUUUUUGGUUUAUUUUCAUUUCUUUAUUAUUAAAUUAAUUACUUUUAAUAUUAUUUAAUAUUAUUAUUGUCAAAACCCUUUUUUUAUUUUAAAAACAAUGGGAAUCGACUUUGAAAACAAAAAUGUGGAGUCGCCACCAAUCUCUUGAUUUAGGUGUGAUUGGGCCACCUACUAAAACGCUUUAUUCAUGUAAAAUCAAAAAGUGGGUUCGGGAGUCGGUUACGCAUGAGGAAGAGUUAGCACCCUCAUUACGCCCAAAAAUCGGUACCAAAUUGAUUUGAUGCUAUCUUUAUGUCAAAAGGUUUUUUGAAAGAAAAGAUUUACCAAAGUAUGAUUCUUUUUAAGAUGUUCGAAUAGGUUAAAUUAGUGGUCAAAAUUCUCUCGUUUCAAAGAUAUGCAGUAUCAUACCCAGCACGAUUGGAUACGAUCUCUUAUACAUUUAAAAACGCAAUUGAUUUUUGACUUUUGAAAACUCAUACACUAAAAUUAUAAAAGGUUAUCCAAAUAUUUAGUUCACCGAAAAAAUCAUACCCAGUACGAUUGAGCACAAUUUUUCGAAUUCCCCAAAUAUUGGAUAUUGCCUUAUUUCAAAAUUUUUGAAUGAUAAAGAAAAUUGAAAUUUUGCUCAAAACACGUUUAUCAGUUUUAAAAUGGAAUGCUUAAUGAAUUGUAUCAAAACAUUGGCAAAAGAAGGAAUUAAUGAACAUGAAAUAAUAGAAUAUAACAAGUCACAAUUAAUAAAUCCAAUAAUUAUCUACAACUAUUCUAAGUAAAAUGUAACUAAAUUCUUAACCAUGAAUAGUUAACAAUCAAUACAAAAAUAAUAUAAAACAAUAAUUAACAUGACACAAUAUAAAUAAUCCACAAAAUAUGUACAAAAUAAAAUGGAAUUAAAGGUCAAUAUAGUAUAGGAUAUUUUCAAAAAUAACAAUGAAUUAAUGAACUCAUACUAAUUUACAAGUUGAUAUAUUUGUAAAAAAAAAACUAAUAAUUUAUACGAUUGUUGAAAUAAACCUUAUGGAGUAAAAGUUUGAAUCAAAUUAUAUGCACAUUAUGUUAAACACAAAUUCAUCUAAAAGAAUGACAAUGUACAUAGUAACUUAAAUAAUGUAUGAAGUAAUUAUAAAACACAUGAUAAAAUAUAAUAUACAUAAUAAAUUCAUAAAACAUGUAUAUAGAAAUAAAUUUGGGAGUAAUUCUUUUUUUAAAAAAAAUAUGAAAUUAAUAAUGUAUUAAAAAAGUAAAUAUAUAAAUUAUACAUGUAACGAAAUAUAAAAAAUAUAAUCAUAUACAUAAAAAGGUAAAAAAAACUAUGUUCGUAAAAUACAUAAAUUUAGUGAUGCAUAUUCAUAAAAAUAUGUUUAUAAAGGGAAAUUUAAAACAAAUAAUACAUAAUAUAAUUUUACACGUAACAAAUCGAUUUGAAUUGAUGGAACAUAUAAAUAAUACCUACAUAAGGAUAAUAUGAGAGUGUUUACAAUAAAUAAGUUAUAUGAUUUAAAAUAUGGUUCUUAAAAGAAAUAUAUUAUACACAUAAAUAACUUUAAAAGAGGAUAUAUACAUAGAAAAAUAUUUACAUGUAGUUAUAUGAAAACAAUAACAUGUACUAUAGCAAGAAUAAUUUAAUAUGGGUAAUGUAUAUAUGAAGAAAUAAUUAGAUGUUAGAAUAUCAUGAAAUAAAAAUGUGAAUUAUAAAAUUAACUUAACUUUAUCAUAUACCAUACAUUUAAUAAAGAUAAUUAGGUACAAAUUUGAAAAACUACAUAUAUUUAAUUUACAUACGUUAUUAAAACCAUGUUAUUUUUAAAUAAGUACAAAAAUAUAUGCUUAAUGAUAACUUAAAUAAUAUAUUAAAUAUGAAGAAAUAAUAAUACAUGGCGAGGUAUAACACACAUAAUAGAUUUUUUAUUUUUUAUUUUUAAAAAAAAUGCAUAUAAAAAUAAAUACAUGUGAAAUUAGAUUAUCAUAUACAUUAUAUACAUACCAUUUUACUUAAAAAUAUUUAGAAGAGAUACUAAAUAACAUACUAGGAUAACAUUUAUAAAUACAAAAAUGGAGUUCCAAAACAUAAUCAUAUGUAUAUACAGACAUUUAAAUAUGAGACAUAAGUCAAGAAAUAUUUUAAAUAAUUUAUGUAUAUAAAUAUAUUGACAACACUUAUUAAUAAGGUAUUAAAACAAUGUAAUAUAAAAAAAAUUUUACAACCUGCAAAAUAAUAGUUAUUAUAAAAAAACUAAUAAGAAUGAUUAGUAUACAAAUAUAUAUAAAAUAUUUAAAGAAAUAGGAUACAUAAUGUGAAAAAACAAUCCAAAAAUAAUUGUACAAAUGUAACAAACAAAAUUAUUAACAUGGAUUAAGGCAUAAACAUAUUAAAUGUAUUUUAAAUUAACUGAUUGUACAAAUAUAAGACCCAAUUAAAAAUGCAACAAGAUAAGAAGGAUAAUUCGUAAAUAAAGUAACCAUAAAAUGGAUCAAUACACAACACGCGUAAAUAUAUAGGGACUGAAAUUGAAAAUCCUCCCAGGCCCAAAACGCAUCACUGUAUCAUGGACUAAAAUGAAAACGCGCCCAAAUCAAUGAGCCAAAUUGAAAAAAAAAGCAAAGCGAAAAAGAUGCAAUUGAAGACCCGCGCGAAUGCAGAGGACUUAUCGUGCAAAUUUCCCGUUUUAAGCAAAAGGGUGUGGAUCCGGGCUGCUAAUCGGGUUGACGCGCGGAUCCUCACCCUAUUAAACGGCGUCGUUUCCUGAUCAGGCCUCUAACAAAUGUUUCCAGCUAUUAUUAAACAUAACCUAUUUCAUAUCAGUAAAAGUUGCAAAUUAGUAAAAUUAAUUUGGAAAUAAUUUAACUCUUUCUUAUACGUUCACCUGUAAAAUUGUUUUGGGAACAAGCAAACUCCAUAAGAAGAGUUAAAUUCACAAUUUGUUUAGGAAUUUCACCUGCAAUUAUAAAAUUUACAUAUCAAAUUCAAAAUUAAUCUCCUAUCAAAGAUUACAAGAAUAAAAUAAAAGCAUAAUAACUUAUAUAGUUCUUCAACUCUAUAACAUUUCAUUUAAUUUUUCGUCUCUUUUAGCCCUUAAAUUUAUUAUGUUUAUCAAAUCACCCCAAAAUGGAUCAAAAAGUCUACGUGUAUGAUGUUAGCAAAUAAUUUUUUAAAAUUUCAAAAAUUCAAGAAAAUAUAUAAAUAUUAUUUAAACAUUAAAAAUAUUAAAAAUUAUAAAAAAAUUUUAAAAUUUAUUUAAUUGCUAACAUGACAUAUAUGUGGCAACCGCGUGUAUGUCACGUCGGUAAAGUUAAUAAAUAUUAAUUUUUUUAUUUAUUUUUUUAAGUAAUUUGACAAGUAAUAUAAUACAAUACAAGUUCAAAAGUUAAAAGAAGCGAAAAAUUAAAUAGAGGGCAAAACUCUAAAUCAAUCAUUAUUCCCGAAGUAAAUAAAGCACCAUUAGAAAGGUAUUACACAUUAUAUUAUAUGUCAUACGCAUUCCAAGUCGAGCUGGAAAUUAAAGAAUAUUUCUCUCAUCAUUUUCUCGUUGUUUAUUCUUCAAUCUUCUUUCGAAAAUUUUCAACUAUGUAUUCCUUUAAUAAAUUAAUUUAUAUUUAAAUGUCAAUGGAAGAUUGAUCUAAAUUAUUAUAUUCAUUAACUUAAUUUCUUUUCCAAAAAAAAAUUCCUUCCUUGCAUCUCAAAGUACUUAAUUAAAAAGUACACACUUCAAAAGGUUUAAAAAAGGGUUACCAUAUAUUACCUCCAAAGUGGUUCCGACCAAUAUAAUAGUAUUGAAGCAUACUCAGAUUCCCAAUUUCUAUUGGUAGGCUCCCCUCCAUUUGGUUGUACGGUAAAGAUAACAUUUGUAACUCUUUGCACUUGAAUAGACUGGCAGGAAUUCUACCAGAAAGCAGAUUAACGCUCAAGUGCAAUUCUUUCAAGUUUGGAAGAUAUCAAACAUAUCUUUUGGAAUAUGACCACCGAGAUUAUUGGAGGUGAAAUCAAUCAAUUGUAGCGAAAGCAAAUCACGUGGAACAGAGGGUAUGGAGCCAGAGAGCAUAUUAUCACUUAGAUAAAUAUUUUGCAAUGAAUAUAUAUUGAAGAUUGAAGAGGGAAUUGAACCUGAAAUCUGGUUUUGAGACAAGCUCAAGGUCUGUAGCUUUGGCAAAUAGCCUAAAGAGAAUGGAAUAACACCUUUGAAGUUGUUAUCGUGCAAAAACAACCUUCGAAGUUCAGUUAAUGAUCCCAACCAUGAUGGGAUUUCUCCACUGAAGGAGUUGUUACCAAAGAUUAAAUAUUUCAGCCGAUGCAAAUUGGAUAACUGGACAGGUAAUAUGCCAUAGAAACUAUUAUUUCUGAUACGAAGGAGAGAAAGGAAUGAUAAAUUUCCCAAUUGAGGUGGAAGGAUGUCUACGAGUCCCAACCCAGGACACAACUUACACCAAACCAAUAGCAAACAGGGGCAGAGGCUGACCAGUUAGUUGUCAAGACAUUUUCAGGAUCAUGAAUAACAUGAUCUUUUAGUGCUAGAAGAGCUGAUUGAUCUGUAAGUACGGUGGUUAAUUUUGUAAAUGCCCAAAUUACCGGGCCCAAUGAACAAACAAAAUAAUACCAAGCCCAAAUUGCCAACCCAUUAACCCAAAUCCAUUACACCCUAUUACACCCAAAAACAAACUAAACCAACUAAGCCCAAUGAACCAACACCAGGCCCAAGGCCUUAAGCCAACUUAGAAACCCUAGGGUUUCUGAGCCUCUUCCACGCUACCACCGCCUCUACUGCCACCGACCCGUCCCAUCACCCGCAAAACAAAAACAGAGAGCAAAAACACGCAACAGCAGCAAAAAGAAGCAAACGAUGAUAAAAAAUGAUAUCUUUCGGCUAUAAGAGCCACUUUUUCUCAAGAACGGGGGGGUUUUUUAAAGAGGGGCCGAUUGUAUUCUAAAAGGGCGUUUUUUUAAAAAAAAAAUUGUAACACAGAUUAAAGAAUCAAAAAAAGCAAAAACAGAAAAGAGGUUGAUUUUGGAAUAUCGUUCUCUCCUUUUUUUCGUUACGAUCUUUUUUUAUUUAUUUAUCUUUUUUUUAUCUACUUUAAAAAAGAAUAAAAAGAAGGAAGAGGGAACUUACUCGGGUUUCCCAUGAAUGCCUCGCCAGGGCUCCUCCCUCUACCGUCGAGUUCGAACCUAAGGAAGGAGGGGAGGUGUCUUCCUAUCUCGAUUUUCCAAACUUUGAAGAUUUGGCCUUCAAACGUGGCUCAAUCAAGGGCUGAAAAGCCCGUUUGUUGCUGUCACAACCACCGUCCAUGGUGGAGGAAUGAAAGGCGAUGGCGGCGCAAGAGCUAGGGUUUCGAAACCCUAGCAGAGAAGAAAAGAGAGCCCUUUCUGUUUUUUUUGUUUGUUUGUUUGAAGCAGCAGAAUAAUUUUGAAAUAAAAAAAUGGGUCUUUAUACAGGCUCAAAACGGUGCCGUUUGGGGGACCAACAUCACAGCGCCAAAACGGCGCCGUAUUCGCUGACCGGUUUUGACCCGACCCGAUUGCCCCUGGGAUCCGCGUUUUUCUGUGGUGAGGGAAUAAUUACACACUUGGUCCUUCUCCUUUCGCGCCGGCUUUCAAUUGGUUCCUGUUUGCGUGUUAUUUAUUUUCAAUUUUUUCCCAAAAUCUGUAUACUGUUGCAGUUUAGUCCGCAUCUCAGCGUCAUGUUUUAGGACUUGGAUUAUUUCCAGGUUUAGUCCUUAUACAUUUGGGCUCAUUACAUAUUGGUCCUUUUUUUUAUUAUAUACUAAAUUAACGUACUUAAUAUAUUAUUAUUACUUUAACUUAUUAUUAUUAUUUUGCUAAUAUUAAUAUUAUGAUUAUAUUUCAUUUUUGUGUAUUUAUUUAUUUAUUAAUCUGUUAUUAUUAACAUGUCCUUGGUAUUUUUAUUUUUAUUAUUAUUUAUUACUAUUAUUUUUAUUUUGAUGCCACUCCUAUCGUUAUUAUUAUUAAAAUUAGUGCAUGUUUAUUUAUAUAUGUAUGUACAUAUUAUUUUAAUUACUUCAUUUUAAUGUCAUUAUCAUAUUAUAUUUAUUCUUUGCAUUUCAAUAUUACUAUUAGUAUUACUAUUAUCACCAUAUAUUAGUGUAUUUUUUUAUAUUUAUAUAUAGCAUUGUUUUUAUUAUUAUUUCAAUUCAAUAUUUUAUUAUAUUUACUUUUUGUAUUUUUACAUUAUUAUUAUUAUUAUUACUAUUAUUAUUAUUAUUAUAUAUAGUAGUGUAUAUUUUUAUUAUGUACGCAUGUAUAUAUAUUCAUGUAUAGUAUUAUCUUUAUUUACUUUAUUUUAAUAUUAUUAUUAUUAUCAUCAUUUUUAUAAUUACUAUUACUAUUGUAUUAUGACUAUUAUGGCAUUUUUAUUUCCUUAUUACUCACCUAUUAUGUUUCUUAUCUAUUCAUAUAUUUUCAUUAUUAUACUAUAUCUACUAUUUAUUAGUAUUUUACUAUUACAAUUAUUAGUAUUAGCAUUUUCUUUAAUCAAUACUCAUAAGCAUUAUGUUUUAAUACUAUAUUUUUAGUAACUACAUCAUGUAUGUAUUUUUAGACGCUAUGUUAUAUGCAUGUUUUUAAUAUUAUGUAUAUACUUUUUAUUCCUAUAUAUUUUAAUACAUAUUUGUAUAUAUUUGUAUAUCGUUAUUAUUAAUUUUUUUAUACAUAUUAUUACUAUUUUCAAUAAAUAUUGUAUAUAUUUUCAAUCUAGUAUUAUAUGUUUCACUUAUAUAUGUUCCCUACUAUUUCAUAUUUACAUUAUUACUAAUAUUACAAUGUUUAAUACCAUAUAUAUUAUUAUCAUUUUAUACUAUUAUUAUUUAUAUUGUUAUUAUUAUUAUCGUUUCCGUUAUCAUUGUCAUUUUUAUCUUCGCCAUGUUUUAUUUAUUUAUUUAUUUACUUAUGUAUUCGAUCAUUUUAUUUCCUCAUGCAUUUGUUUAUGUUUACAUAUUACUAGCCUUGCUAUUAUUUCAUCUUUUAUAAUUGCUCAUACUAUUGUAUUUGACAUUAUCGCACCCAUCAUUAUGUUAUUAUACGUGUUAAUAUCAUAAUUUGUUUUUAUAUUUUACUAUAAAUCGCAUUAUAUUUUUGCUCGAUACCUCAAAAUAAUCCUUUCAUAAAAGUAAUAUUCUGUAUUUGGUAAUUCGAGACAAUCGUGCCCUAACUUAAUGGGUUUCGAUUUUUCUCAUUUAACCUAAAUAGCGAAAUACUCAUUUAAAUCGCUAUACGAGUUUUGAAAAAUGUUUAUUCUCGGAGAUACGAAGUGUUGUGCCCUAACUUAUCGGGUAUGACAUUUUGUCAUCUCGAAAUGAGAAUUUAUUUUAAAAUAAAGGCAAUAUUCAGUGUUUGAGAAUUCGAGAAAAUGUGCCCUAACUUACUGGGUUUCGAUUUCUCUCGUUUCUUCUAAAUAAUCGAAUACCCUUUUAAUAAAUUUAAAAACGCAAAUUUUAUAUAAAAGGCAAACUCGCUCUCGAAAAUUUAAGAUGUCGUGUCUUAACUUACUGGAUGUGACAUUUCAUAUUUUGAGACGAAAAGGUCUUUAACACUUGAGCUCUUUUUAUAAAGAAGGAUCGUAUUUCAAAAGUCUUUCAAAGUUUUCAAUCUUCAAUCUUAAGACAUUAAUUAAUUAACUAGGUACCAAUUUUGGGCGUAUUAAGGGUGCUAAUUCUUCCUUAUGCGUAACCGACUCUCGAACUCAUUUUCUGAUUUUUGUAGACCAAAAAUUAUCAUUUUAGUAAAUCUUAACUUUUAUUAAAAUGGUUAAUUUAAAGGUGAUUUGAUCACACCUCAUAAAAAAGGAUUGGUGGCGACUCUCAUUUUCUGUUUUCAUUUUUUAAAAUACAAGUCGAUUCCGUUUUUUCAAAAAAUGGUUACGACAAAUUUCAUAGAGAAAAUAGGCAUAGAAAAAUGGAAGAUGAUAAGUAGAGCUAAGUUGAGGAAAGUAUUCCCCAUUUGAUUUUGGGUGUUUAUCAAGCUACCAACAAAGGCAGAACUGGGAUUGCUAGAUAGAUAAUUGAAUGAGCACUAAUCGUAUGACCACACUUCUUUUACAUGAUAUGUGUGUGUAUAUAGAAAGGGAGUUUAUGUUGUAAUUUAUCAUAGAAUGAGAUAAAUAUAAUUAUGUAAUUAUUGCUUAAAAAUUUUCUUUCUAAAUUUCAUUUUUCUCUUAAGAAAUUACAAUAUUAAAUUUUACAUAGAAAUAAUAUAUAGUAAUGUAAUUUAAUUGCACUUGUACCAAUGUUGCAACUUUUUUAUUAAAUUAUUUUAGAUUAUUGAAAUUAUUAGAGAACAUGAUAAUAAAAUUAUAUGAUAACUUUUUUUAUCAAAUACAAAGUAUAUAUAGUGACAAUUGAGCAGUCAGUUCGAAGAAUAUAAACAACCCUGUUGCUUGCUUAAUUAGCAGUAUCUAAACACUAAUUAAUUUGUGCUUCUAUUGACUAAAAUAAUUUUGAACAAAAAAUAUAUUUACUAAAAAUUAAAAUAAACCAUGAAAUUUCUUAGAACAUUCAAUUUUUUUUUUUAAUUUUUGUUGUUUUGGAAUAAUAAUUUAUUCGGUUUUCUAAUUUUAUAAAAAAAUAUUUUAAAUUUUCAUUUAAUUAUUUUUUAGUCCUUAAAUUUAUGUUAUUUGUCAAAUUAUCCCAAAAUAAAUGAAAAAAAUUUAAUGUUUAUUAACUUUACUGAUAUAAAUAAUUUUAAAUUACCUAAAAAAGUAUAAAAAAUAAAAAUAAAAACAAAAUAAAUGACAAAUAAUUUUAAAUUAAUUAAUUGUUAACGUAACAUACACAUGACAAUUCACAUGUAUGCCACAUUAGUAAAGUUAACAAAUGUUAAUUUUUUCCAAUCAUUUUAAGUGAUUUAACAAACAAUACAAAUUCAAAAAUUAAAAAUAAUAAAAAAUUAAAUAUAUAACUAAAAUAAAUUUUUAUAUAAAAUAAGAGGGUCAAAAAAUUAUUAUACUUUUUUUUCUUGUCUUAUCAAUACCCUCGACAACACGCCACCAUACAGUAAGAAUAUAAAGUAAUUUAACUAGAUUUCUAGAAAGAAAAUUAAUAUUUUUUUAGUAUAAAAGGACACAGGUUUAAUAUAUUAAAAUAAUAUUUAUCCUUUUAUAUAAGCAUUAGCAAAGAAUUAUGGAUAAUUCCAGUCAUUUAAAAAAAUUGAUAUAAAAAAGGCUUAGAAAAUAAUCUGCAAUUUUUAUUUUAGGAAAUUAUAGAAUAAAGAAAUCAAGAAUUUUUAAUUUAAAAAUCUUAAAUUUAAAUCAUAACAGCAGGAGCAGUCUCUUUACAAUUAUCCAAGAUAGAUUAAAUUUGGUUUUAUAUCUAAGAAAUCAAAACUGUAAUUAGGUUAAUGAUAAGCAUUAAACUAAAUUAUUGGAAUAAAAAUAUAAGCAAUUUUACAAUAUUCGUGCUGGGAACAUAUCCCGUCACCAACUUUUCAGAACUUUUUGACCAUUUUUAAAAAAAAUCUCUAUAGAUUCAUUGUCUAGGUAUUCAUUGUCUUACCCCUUCGCUGGGUUUGGUUUGGGACGGCUGCUUGAUUUCAUUGUGCAAUCUAAAGUCUUUCUACUUUGUCAUUUUAAAAGUCUGCAUCUAGGAGAAUAAAACAAUUGAGAAAGAAUUAUAUAUUACUGUGAAAUUGAAAGUAUGUAGAGUUAUUUUUCUUAUUUUUCAGUUUUUCUUUCUCUCAGUUAAUCUCUAUUUUUAGUUUCCUACAUAAACUUUGAUUAGUUUAUAUUAUUUUACUAUUAUUUCACUCACGAAUUUAGCUCAUAAAUUGGUUGUUUUUCCAACAUAGAAAAACAACUCAUAACACAUAUAGGUAUUAGCUUUUACAAGCUUUCAGAAAAAUUUUGUGUUUACAUUUUGAGAAUUUUUAUUUUGAGUUUCAGAGUUUAGUUUUAUUUUAAUCUUUGUACUCUUCGUUUUUGUCGUUUUAGUGAAAUUAUUUUUGCUCGUGGUUUUUUAUCCUCCUCAAAGGAGUUUUUCCACGUAAACUAUUUGUGUUCGAACUUUUUACUUUUUUGUUGCUUAAUCGAGUUUAUCCAGCAACAAUAAGGUUUUAUAUUGAUAAGUUUGAUGGCAUCACAAGUUUCAAUCUAUGGCAAGUUCGAAUGACGGAAAUUAUGGUUCAGAGCGAUCUUGAGAUGCCUACAGACAUGGAUAAAUCAGAAUGGGAUAAGUUAGAUAAAAAAAGUUCUAUCUAUGAUUCAAUUAUAUCUAACAAAUAAUAUGUUGUAGGAGGUUUUGAUGGAGAAAACAACAUUCACCUUAUAGAAAAGGUUAGAAACUCACUACGCGACAAAGCCUCUAGCUAAUCGAUUGGUGUUGAAACAAUGUCUAUACACGUUCCGCAUGGAUGAAAGUGAGCAUCUUAAAGGUCGCAUCAGUCAAUUUAUUACUCUUUUAAAUGAUUUAAAAAAUGUUGAGGUUCAAAUUGAUGAUAAAGAUCAAACUAUUCUAUUAUUGUGCUCUUUACCCCUUUCAUACAAAUCUUUCAAGGAAACCUUAAUUUAUGGCAAAGAUAAUUUCUCAUUCGAGGAUGUGAAGAGUCAUCGAUUGAGUAAAGAUAAACUCAAAAAUGAGUUUGGUUCGAAUAACAAGUCAGAUAAGUGAUGUCACUAUAGUAAGAAGUUAGAUCAUGUCAAAACAGAUUGUUACAAACUACGACAUAAAAGGGUUGUUGAGAGCUACGAGGAAGAUUUAAUUGGUGCUAAUUUAGCCAAUGACAAAGCUGAUGAUUUCUUGUUGGUAUCAACAAGUGAAAGCUCCGAGCUUACGUCUGAGUGGAUCUUGGGUUUGGGGUGUUCUUUCCACGUGUCCCAACAAGGGCUAAUUCUCCACAAACAAUUCAGUUGAAGUGGAGUUGUGUGCAUGAGGAAUGAUUCAUGCAGUAAGAUAACUGAUAUUGGUACUGUUUAGAUCAGGAUGCACAACAAGAUAAUUAGGACACUGUCAAAUGUCAGGCAUGUGCUUGACUUAAAUAAAAAUUUCAUCUUCUUGGGAAUUUCAGACUCGAAUGGUUGUAGAAUUAACAUUAAGUCAAAUGGAAUUAAGGUAUCUCGUAGGGCUCUUGUUUUGAUGAAAGGAAAAAAUAUUGGCAAUUUUUAUGUUCUGGAAGGAUCAACGAUGACCGGUGAAACACGACGUCCCUCCUCUAUUAAGGAGUCGAAGUUGACUCAUUUGAAGAGGACAAAAAUUGGUCAUAGGAAGGAAAAAGGUAUAAGAGAUGUUCUCUUUUGGAUGCAAGUUUUGAAAAUAUAGGGUACUGCAUUCGUGGUAAUUAAACCUAGGUCAGUUUUGAUUUAGCAGUGCACAAGUCAAACACUAGAAGGCUUCCAGCUUCUAAGCACAACUUCGACUUAGUUAAUAUCCUUCAUAGUUUGAGAUUAGCCUGUGGUGGGCUUUAGCAAACAAGGAAUUUUGAAAAUACGAAUCAAGGUGAAGAUUUUCGGAGUUAUGCCUUGUAUUUUUUGACUUGUCUUCUCCCAAAUUAAGCUUUGUUUUUAGUUUCCCACAUAAACUCUGAUAAGUGCACGUUAUUUUAAUAUUAUUUAACAUAAGAAUUUAGCCUAUAAAUAGGUCAUUUUUCCACCCUAGAAAAAUAAUUCAUCACACACUUAGCUAUUAGUUUUUAUAAGCUUUUAGAGAAUUUUUGUGUUUACAUUUUGAGAGUUUCUAUUGUGGGUUUUGGGAUUUAGUUUUAUUUUCAUAUUUGUACUCUUCGUUUUUGUCAUUUUAGUGAAAUUAUAUUUACCUAUGGUUUUUUAUCUUCCUCAGAAAGGGAUUUUCCACAUAAAAUAUUUGUGAGGCUUUUAAAAAAAAUUAUUUAUUAAAUUAUUUUAAUAUAUAUUUUAUGUUAGAAAAAAGAGAACAUGGGUAUUUAUUUAUUUAUAAUUGCAAAUAUAUUUUUAUAAAAUUUUAUGUACUUUUAUCAAAAAUUAAAAUUUUUAAUUUUUAAUUUUGAAUCUUUAAGAAGUAAAACUAAAUUGGCAGAAUGUGUAAAGUUGAGAGCUAAAUUUGUUGAUUUUUUAGAUUUAAGGCUAAAUUGAUAGAAUAUGUCAACAUUGGAGAGUUAAAUUUGUUAUUAGGCCAAUAAAAAAUGCCACCAUUAGUAAUUUAAAAUAGGAACUACCAAAAUAUUAAAUUUCAAUAAUAUUAGUGUUUAAAAUAGAAAAUUUUAAACUGAAGUGAUCAAAAUAAAAACACACUAAUAAUCGAGUGAAUAUUUUUAUAGUUUGCCAUAGAUUGAAUAAUGGUUACCCAAUUUUGCAUGAUUGUUCCAUUUUCUUACCCCUUUAUUGGGUUUGAGACCAAGUGGCUUGACUUUAUUUGUGCAAUCUAAAAGUCUUUCAACUGUGUUAGUUUGAAAACAUCAACAGUUACUUAUGAUCGUAUGAUGUGAAACCUUAUAAUAUAGAAAUAUACUAAUAAUUUAGGGUUUGUCCUAAAUAAUGGUUACCCAAUUUUGCAUGAUUGUUCCAUUUUCUUACCCUUUUCUUGGGUUUGGGACCAACUGACUUGACUUUAUUUGUGAAAUCUAAAGUAGUUUAAAAACAUCAACAAUUGCUUAUUACUUGAUGAGAAACUUCAUUAUUGGGAUAAUUAAGACGGGUCCGGCCAUGACUUUUUGGCCAUUUUCUUUUCAAGGUUUUGCCCAUUUUUCAAUCUCUAUAGAUUCAAUAAUGCUCCCCAAUUUUCAAUGCUUAUUCUUUUUCUAACCCCUUUUGUCUUUUCACGGACUUUGUUGUGCAAUUUAAAUUCUUUCUUUAGGUGAAUUAUAAAAUUAUUCACUCAAAAUUGGUUAAAUUUAUUUUUUUAUCACUAAAUUAUGAAAAAUUAUAUUUUGGUCACUAACAAUAUCGAAUUAUAAUGUUUUGGCCACUCGUCCGUUAACAGUUGUUACAUCCUUAACGAAAAAAUGAUGUGGCACGUAACUUAAGGAUUAAUAUUUAAUUUGAUCUUUGAAGUAUAGUUAAAACACUCAACUUGGUCCUUCUACAACUUUUUUUUAAUGAUAAUUCCAAAAAAAUCAAAAAAUAUUUAUUUAUUGUUUGAAACUAUAAAAAAAAUAUUUUUUAAUUGUAAUUAUGUAAUGUUUUAAAAAGUCAUAAAAUCCUUAAAAAAAUUAACCUAAGUUGAGUGAUUCAACUUAGGUUAAUUAUAAAAAAAUAUAAAAAAUUCUUUAAAAAAUUCUAAAAAUUUCUCUAAUAGUUUUUUUUAAUUCUCUAAUUUUUUUCCAUUUUUAUAUAUUUUUUAAUUAAAAGUGGACCAAUUGUUGAAGUGAUUGAAUCGAUAGUAUAAUCGGUUCAACUUUUAAAAUCGUGGGUUCCAAAACAUCACAAGAAAAUGUUAAAAUACAUUCAAAAAAUGUUUUACUUUUGUGAGGUUUCAAAGCGUCACGGAUAGAUGUUAAAAACAUCACAAAAAAUGUCCUACAAAACGUCACAAAAAGAUUUUAAAAAAAUCCUAAUUUGGUAAGGUCUCACAAAUAUUACGAAAAGAUCUUCGCAAGCGUCACAAAAAGGUUGGCAUUUCGUGACAUUUCAAACCGUCACUAACCAACACAAGUGACAUUAAAAAUGCAUUCUUUCAUGACUUUUUUUAACUGUACCUUUUUAGAAAAUGACGUGAGUAAUAUUGUUUCUUGUGACGUUUUCUAGAAAAGUCACAGAAAAACAUAUUUUUUGUUAUUUUUUGCAAAUAGUAACAAAAUAAAAAUCACGAAAAUUAGAAUUCUCGUAGCGAUGACUCAAUUCUUACCUUUAUGUUUUUAAAAUUUUAAUAUACAAGUCUUUCAUUCAUUUUUACAAUUUUGAAUAACUCUAUCAUCUCUUUUACAUUAUGUAAAUUUUUGUAAAUGAUAAAGGAAAGAAAAGGAAAGUAAGUGGUUCACCUUUAAUUGCCUACUUCCACUAUUUUAGUAUACCUCAAUUAAGUAUUUCUCAAUUCACUAUAAGAUUAGUACCUUUCAAGGAGAAGGUAUAACAUUUAGAAUACUAUUUUUUUCUUAAGGCUUAGAUAUAACAUUUCCUCCUAGGUUUUAUAGCCGUUAUAUAAUCAUUGGCAAGCUAUGUCUAGAGACAUGAAUAGUAUGUCUCGAGACAAUCUAUCAAUUGUCUCUAGACACAUUGCAAAAUGUCUCAAGACGGGUAGCUCCCAAAGCAGAUUUGUGCUUCGAAGUUUUCAUGUCUCAAGAUGUAUAGUUGUAUAUCUUGAGACUUGCAUAUCAAAGCCCUUUCAAAACAUUUUAAACGCCUUAUAACACCUUGGUAUUAACCCAAAUAUACUUAGAUAAAUAAAAUACAUUUAAAACAUAUUUUUGAGUAUUUUGCAAGCCUUUGAAAAUGUUUGAUAAAAUUUUUAAUCAUAUUUUCAUUAAACGAUGUAGAACAUAUAAUACAUAUAAAAUUUACCUUAAAUGUUAUUAUAUCAAAACCUUAGAAUAUCAAAGUUAACAAUUUAUUAAUGGUGGACCGAGACAUGAAAAGAGACUAUCACAACUAUUUAGUAGCUAGUUGGUUAAUAAAAUUCUUUUUUUUUUCCAAUUAAGUAGUAUUCUCAUAUUGCACAUCUCAAUUUGAUUCUACCACACUCACAAAUGAAAUCAAUGGAAUACGUAAAAAUGCAAAUACAACACCUGACGGCUGCUGGCAUAAAUAAAAGGCUAUAUAGAAAGUUAAUUUUAUGUUGCAUUAUUGGUGAUGAAUGAUGAAUUUUUAGUUAGAAUGGUAAAAUUAUAUCUAUAGGAGUAAUUAUGUCACAAGUUUAAAUUUUAUCAUUUUUGAGCUUUAUUAAUUUUAUAUAAAAAUAAAAAAUAUACAUAAAAGCAUCAUUACAAAAAUAUAAUUUAUUUUGCAUAUAGAAAAAUAUUUUAAUAAUUUUCUAACAGAAUUAAUCUUCGCUUAACUCAUGACACCAACACAAUCAAAGAUCUAAAUAUAAUUAUAGAUAUAGAUUAUAUUUAGUGUGAAAUUAUUAUAACUUUCUUUUUGUGCGAUAUAAAUGUUCUAUAACUUUUUUUUAAUACUAAAAUUAAUGACACUUAGGAUAUUUUUCAAAAUAAUUAAAAAUGAAAAAUAAUUUGUGUGGAAAGAAAAUUAUAAAUAUGAAAAAUUGAAGGGGUGGAAAAAUAAAAAGAUGAAAAAUAUUAUUUUUCCUUCUCUAGAUGUGCUUGGUAGGAAAUAUGAAAAAUUUGAAUGAAAUAUAAUUUUCUUUUCAUCUAUUGCUUGGUAGAAUUGAAAAAUAAAUUUUUGUAAUAAACAAAAAAGAAUUGUGUAGUUAUAAAGUUGUAUGUAUGUAUGUAUCUAGCAUUUAGCAAAGUUUGAAUGUAUCUUUCUGUGUUUCUUCAUUAUAACCUUUUUUAAAUAUAUAAUUAAAUAAAUAAUAUAAAGCUUUAAGGGAUCAAACACACACAUAUCUAUGUAUAUUAGAUCUACUAUAUGAAACCAAGGAUCCAAGGAGAGACACACCAAUACGAAGCACCUAUUGACCGAACAAGUGGAUUAUCGUAAGGUAACAUAAGAAUUUAUUCAAAGAUUCCUUUUAUCAUAUUCUAAUAAAUUUGUAGUAAAAAUGUCUUUAAUUUUAUCAUUAACUCUCGAUAACAUAGUUGGAUCACGUUCUAUCACAUCUUAAUAAGCUUUUUCAUGACUCUACUAACACUGUGUAGUAAAAGAUCUGAUUAUAGAAACUCGCAAAAAACUCCUUAUCUACGUGUUGUUUCCAUUACCAAAAGAUUUAAGGACAUCAUUUUUGCAUAAUUGAAAAUAAAAUUGAAAUAGGAUGUCAAUGCAUAAUUGUUGAUGCACAUUAUAUUUAUGUUAUGCCUAUCACAUAUUUUAUAUGUUUUAUGCAAAUAUAUACAAAUCUUUCAUGCAUUUCUACAAUCUCAAAUUUAUAAGGAAAAGAAAUUAUUAAAAUUCAAAUAUUUGUAACUGUAAUAGUCCAAAUUUAACCGGGCCUUAAAACCAAAUAAAAAUAGAUAAAUAAAUAAAUAUUUAUUUAUUAAACAAUCCAAGUCCAGGUUACAAAGCCCAAACAGUAGGCCCAAAAUCAAAUACCUCAGACUCAUUACCCGUGUACCCGAUUACUACCCUGCAGGCCUAAAACUACCCAGCAGACCCAUUUACUACCCAGCAGGCUUAAAACUACCCAGCAGACCCAUUUACACCCUUGACCCAAACAGAAUACCAAUAAACCAAACCCAAAUAAAAAAUGGCCCAAAAGCCCAAGUGACUUUAGGGAAACAGGAAACCCUAGGGUUUCCUGAAGACUAUAGCGCCGCAUCAGCUUCUGGAAGCCUCGGGGAGCAUCUGUUCAACUCCCCAAAUCGAGGCCAUCAAUGCACACUGACGCACCAUCAAUGCGUUGUCCAGUAGCUUGUCCCUCUCACGACCGUCCAGCACCGUGAUCUCAGGCCUCAUCUCCGACCUUGGUACCUUCGUUGACGCCGAGAUCUCCGUAAAAGAGACUAUCUCGUGGUCAUCAGUGCACAAAUGGGUAUCUGCCGAGAUUCGAAUCCAUGACAGCAAGCCCAACCACCGAAAUAUUCGCGAGUCACCUACAAGAAAAGGAAACAAACAGCAAAUACACACAAAAAAAGCAGAGCAAGAAAAGGAAAGAAAUCAAAGCAAAAAAGACAGCAGAUAUACUAGAACAGGAAAUGGAAAGAAAUCCUCCGAUUUCUUUCCAAAAUAGGCAGUAGUUUAAGGCUAUAAAGCCUUUCGCAAAUCUGUAAAGAGAGAGGGGAUAGAUACACAGGAGUAGAGAGACAGAGAGAAAAACAUACAUAGAUAGAAACAGAGAGAAUACACAAAAGAGAUAGAGAGAAACACAUCACAAAAUCAUUGUACAUCAAACCUUUGCAAUAAUAUUUCAGAAGGUGAUUUUUUUUCCCUCAUACCUUUUUUUUAUUCUCUUUUACGAAUAUAUAAAUCAUUUUUUUAAAUAGUAACAAUUAAAAGGAAAAGGAUUUACCUGUGGAAGGACGAGGGUUUUAACCCUCAGACCACCGGAUGCGACGGCGCGUGAGGCGCGUGUGGUGAGUGUGCAGGUACUGCACCAUGGUCGAGAACCGAAGGCCAGACCAACCCCCAGUCUUCUUCAGAGGAUUUACAAACUUUUUUUUUUGAGACUGGUGUAAAAAUGAAUUUUAGGCUUAGGUUUUGAUUUAUAUAGCCCUACAAAAACGACAUCGUUUUAGUUUAGUCCGAUAAGCUUAAAACGACGACGUUUUAGGCUCCCAGGAUCCGCGCGUUGACCCGAUUACCCGGGGAGGAUCCGCGUGUUUUUGAGAAUUGGAUUAAUUACCCAAUUAGUCUUCCACUUUUUUUAUGUUUUCAAUUUUGUUUCAUUUUAUUUAUGAUUUAGCCCUGAUAUUUGCUUCAGUUUUAAUUUAGACCUUAUAGUAAAUGUUUUAAGUCCUGGAUUAAAACGACGCCGUUUAGGGACAAGGGAAAAUUUCUCGAUGAGUCCCUAGGUUUUUAAUGGCCGUUUCAAUUAGGCCCUAUCUCAAUUUUUAUUAAAUCAGCCACUGACUUUUGUUUAUGUUUAAUUUUAGUCCCUUUUACCCAUUUUAAUUUAUUUAUAACUUAUUUUUUAUAUACAUGUAUUAUUUUAUUUUAAUAUGAGCAUACAUAUUAUAUACAUUUUAUAAUUAUUUACUUAUAUGCUAUUAUAUUAUACUACUUCAUGUUUUUUUCUAUUGUUAUAUUAAUAUAUAUUUUAACAUAUACCAUUACUUAUUAUUUAUUAUAGUAUAUUUUUAUCACAUAAUGUUUAUAUAUCUUUAUACUAUUAUAUUAUUCUACAUUUUAACAAUAUAUUAUUUCAUAUUAUUAUUAUUUAUUAUAUAUUAUUUUUCACAAAUUAUUAUUAUUUUACAUUAUUAUCUAUAUAUUUUUACUUGUAUUGUAUAUUUAUUAAUUAUUUAUACAUAUUAUAUAUUAUUUUUACAUAUAUACACUUUCAUAUUAUAAAUUAUAAUUAUUUUAUAUUAUGUCAUUUUUUAUACCAUUAUAAUUUUUUUAUCUAUAUGUUAUUAUCAUUAAAAGUUUUAACUUGUAUUAUAUACUUAUUUUAUUCAUAUGUUAAUAAUUACUUUACUUAUAUUCUAUUAUUAUAUAUUUUGAAGAUAUUAUAAUAUUAUAAUUUGUAUAAUUCGUAUAUUUCAUCAUUAAUUACUUAUUUUAUACUUAUAUUUAUAUAUAUUAUAUAAUUAUUUUACUAUAAAUAUAAAUUCUUUUACAUAUUAAGUAUUUUAUACAUUAUUUUUCUAAACCAAUAUAUUUUUUAUAUAAUUAUUACCCUUUUAUAUAUUUUUGUUAUUAUGUAUUAUAUAUUGUAUAUUAAAUACUAUUUUAAAAGUAUUAGUAAAUAUCAUAUUUUAUUUGUAUAUUUCGUUAACAAUUACUCACUUUAUUUUAUAUUUUAUAUAUACUAAUUCUUUUAUAUAUUUUAUAUAUAUCAUGUAUGUAUUAAAUUUUAUUUUAUAAUUUGAUGUUAUAUUUUAUGAACAUGUACAUUGAUAUUAUAUUACUUUUUAAUUGUGUAUCAUGCAUCAUUUCUUAAUUAUUACUAUGUAUGUUUGUAUGUUGUGCUUAUUCAUCUUCAAUAUAUGCUAUGAAUAUCUUUGUAUAUAUGAUGUUAUGUAAUCUUAAAUAUGUAUGUAUCUAGUAUAUGAUUUUUGUAUUAUUGCUAUUGUAUCGUUUAAAUGCAUGUUUUAUUCACUCGUUAUUGCAAUACUCUAUUCCAUAAUGAUAAUAUGUUCCAUCAUGUAUCGGUUUUUUAAAAAAAAGAGACUUCAAAGUUUUUCAAGAAUAAAAAAGGCAAUGCUUAGUGUAGCGAUGUAAAAAAAAUUAGUUUCGCUUGGUCGCUAAUUGUGGCGAUUUAUUAAACAUUUGAAAACCAACUUUCGAUUUUAUUAACAAAGGGAGUCGCCACCGAUCCUUUUUUAUAGGUGUGAUCGAACACCUAAUAAAAUUAUUUUAAAACAAAAAAAAGGCCAAAUUUAGGUCUACAUGAAAGUCCAGAGAAAAAUUGGGGUUCGGGAGUCAGUUACGCGUGAGGAAGGUAUUAGCACCCUCGCGACGCCCAAAAUUGGUAUCUCAUAAACAUGUGUUGACUUGAUUUUCAAAAAUACGAGUUCAAUAUAAUAUUUAAUCGUGAUCCGAUUGAAAAAUGAGAAUUUUUAGUUUUCAAUUUUUUUUUAGAAAGGGUGUCCCGUUUUUUAACACAAGCCGAUGAAUUUCACCCAACAUAGCGAUGAAAUCGAUGGCUUAAUAUUAAAUCGGUACAUUGCCUUAUUUUUGAAAUUAAUUAAAACAUGAGAAAAAAUAUUCCUAAAGUGAGAAAUUAAAAAUAGAUAAAGGACGCAAAAAAAUGAUAUCAUUAAUGAAAAAUAUUAACAUGGAAUACUAGAAUAUUAGAAUAACAAUAAUAACGAUAUUUAUAAAAUAAAAACAAAUCAUGUACUAAUAAUAAAAUAGGAAAAAUGAUAUAUUUGGUAAUAAUAAUAUAAAAUAAUAAUAUGUACAUAAAAAUACAUAUAUAUAUGCAUAUAAUAAAAGUAUGUAAUAAUAAUAAUAAUAAUAUCUACAAUAAAAGAAAAUAUUAGGAAACGUACAUAAAAAAUAUAUACAUAAAAAAUUUACAACAAUAAUAUAAAAUAAUGAUAUGUACAAAAAUAUAUAUAUACAUAUGUACAUAAAAUAUACACUAAUAUAAUAAUAGUUAUAAUAAUACUAGCAAUAGUAAUAAUUUGUAAUAAUAAUAUAUACACAAUAUGGUAUUUAAAAUAUAUAUGUAUAUAUAAUAAUAUUUAAGAAUAUAUACAUAAGAAAUAUAUAACUAAUGGCAUUAAAAAAAUAUAUAUACAUAAUAUAUAUAAAAUACAUAUAUAUAUACGUAUUAGAAAUGAUAAAAAAAAAUUAUUAACACACUACAUAAGUAAAUGAAAUAUAAUAAUAAUACUAAAAUAAUUAAUUUAAAUAGUAAAGUAACUAAAAAGAAUUAAAUUGAACUAAAAACAAAAUAUUUGGGGCAAAAUUGAAAUAAAAAUAAAAGGAAAGGACUAUAUUGAGCAUGCGCGGAAAUAGUGGGGGCCAAAACACAAUUAAUCCUCCCCUCAAAACAUAACAUAGCAAGAGGGACUAAAUCGCAAAGCGCUACAUACUUUAAGGCCAAUUUUUGACAAAAAAAAUCAUUUUGAAGAGAGAAAGAAAAAAAAAGAAGGGAGAAAGAAGAGAGAAGGGAGGGGGGAAAGGAAAUCCGGCUAAGGGGGGCCGGUCACCGGCCGAUCGUCGGCCGCCGCCCGUCGCCGGCGCCGGCACCGCCGACCACCGCCCACGGUGGCCGAAAAAGGUAAAAAAAAUUUUCUUAACAAUAUAUGUAUAUAUAAAGAAAGAAAAAAGCAACACAAAAAAAAGAAAGAAAAAAGAUUCGAAAGAAGAGGAAAAAAUAAAAAAUGCAACCUUUUUAUUGAUGUUUCUUUUGUGUUCAAAAUUUGAAGGGAUUUUUGUGUUUGUCUCCUUUUUCAAUCUUUGUAAAAAUCCCCCCUCUUUACAUGAUUUUUGAAUGGCUUUUUAUAGCCAUCUUUUACAUGAUUUUCUAUUAUUUCUUUUUCUAUUUUGUAGGUGGUGGUGGUAGACAAUGGAUAUCAAAAAUGGGAGGAAAAAUGGGGCAAGUGGGAAAGUGGCUAGGUGGCUAGGGUUUCUUGGUUUUUUUUUGGGGGGUUAGGUUUUUCUUUUCUUUUUUUUGGGUUAGGUUUUUUCUUUUUUUUUUUUGGUUAGGUUUUUUUUUUGGGAGGGCUUAAUGGGCUUUUGAAUUGGGUUUAAUAUUUGGGUUUUGUAAUGGGUUUGGGUAGAUGUAAAUGGGUCAUGGGUUAAGGGUUUUAGUGGGUUUAGAGGUUUGGUUGGGUUUUGAUAUAAUCGGGCCCGGGCAAUUUGGGCUUCUACAGCUGCCCCUCUUUGCUCAUUGUCGUGCAACGAUAAUAGAGCAAAGACUUUCAAGGAAGACCAAACUUGCCCGGUCUUGCUAGGUCUUGACUUGCUUUGGAACUCUUCUUGUUUAGUUAGUCCCUUUUCAGUCCACCGCAUCUUGUAGCUUUGGUUCAAUCCACUGCAAAUUCGGAGAUAUGCCUUGUAGCUUCAAUCUGUUCCAAUGUAACUUCAAGGAUAUGAGAUUUGUGGCUUCGAUCCGCUUCACUGUAACUUCAGAAAGAUAAGAUCUACAACUUCAAUAUGCUCUUCUAUCGCUUCAGUGAGAUAAGGUUUUGGUCUUCUCUUCUGCGACUCCAGAAAGGCAAGAUCUGAUGCCCUCGAUCAACUCCACUGCAACUUUAAGGAGACAGAAUCUGACGUCUUCAAUCAGCUUCAAUCUUUAUUCUCUACUCGGCAUGUGAUCCUAAGCUCAACUCAUUUUUCGCAAUAUGAAUUGACUCUCUAAAAACAGACAUUAAAAACAGAAAUUGAAAAUAGCUCAGCGUGUGAGCCAAGGCUCAACUCACCUCUCGCAAUAUGAGUUGAUUUUUUGAAACUUAACUUGAAAAGCAGAUUUUGAAAAUACCUCAAUAUGUGACUGGAGGUUCAACUCACCUCUCGCAAUAUGAGUUGAUUUUUGAAAAACAGAAAUUAAAAAACUUAACUCAACUCUCGCAGAAAUUAAAAAGCUCAACUCACCUCUAGCAAUAUGAGUUGAAUUUUUUUGAAAAAAAAACAGAAAUUGAAAAUAGCUCAGCACGUGAGCUAAGGCUCAACUCACUUCUCGCAAUAUGAGUUGAUUUUUGAAAACAGAUUUUGAAAACAGAUUUUGAAAAUACCUCGACAUGUGACCCGAGGCUCAACUCACAUCUCGCAAUGUGAGUUGAUUUUUUUUGAAAAAUAUAAAUUGAAAAAAUACCUCAGUGUGUGAUCUGAAGCUCAACUCACCUCUCGCAAUAUGAGUUGAUUUUUUUGAAAGACAGAAAUUGAAAAUAGCUCAGCGCGUGAGCCAAGGCUCAACUCACCUCUCGCAAUAUAAGUUGAUUUUUUGAAAACAGAAAUUGAAAAUACCUCAACGUGUCUUGAGGCUCAACUCAUUUCUCGCAAUAUGAGUUGAAUUUUGAAAACAGAAAUUGAAAAAUAGAAAUUGAAAAUACCUCGGCGUGUGAUCUGAGGCUCAACUCAACUCUCGCAAUAUGAGUUGAUUUUUGAAAAAUAUAAAUUGAAGUAAAAAAAAAUACCUCAGUGUGUGAUCUGAAGCUCAACUCACCUCUCGCAAUAUGAGUUGAUUUUUUUGAAAGACAGAAAUUGAAAAACGGAAAUUGAAAAUACCUCGACGUGUGAUCUGAGGCUCAACUCACCUCUCGCAAUAUGAGUUGAUUUUUUUGAAAGACAGAAAUUGAAAAUAGCUCAGCGCGUGAGCCAAGGCUCAACUCACCUCUCGCAAUAUGAGUCGAUUUUUUUUUAAAGGCAGAAAUUGAAAAACGAAAAUUGAAAAUACCUCGGCGUGUGACCUGAGGCUCAACUCGCCGCUCGCAAUAGGAGUUGACUUUUUUGACAACAGAAAUUGAAAUUACCUCAGCGUGUCCUGAGGCUCAACUCACCUCUCGCAAUAUGAGUUGAUUUUUUUUUGAAAGGCAGAAAUUGAAAAACGGAAAUUGAAAAUACCUCGGCGUGUGACCUGAGGCUCAACUCGCCUCUCGCAAUACGAGUUGAUUCUUUCAAAAACAUAAUAAUGAAAACAGAAAUUGAAAAUACCUCGGCGUGACCUGAGGCUUAACUCACCUCUCGCAAUAUGAGCUGAUUCUUUCAAAAACAUAAUAAUGAAGACAGAAAUUGAAAAUACCUCGGCGUGACCUGAGGCUCAACUCACCUCUCGCAAUAUGAGUUGAAUUUUGAAAACAGAAAUUGAAAUUACCUCAGCCUGUCUUGAGGCUCAACUCAUUUUGAACAGAAAUUGAAAUUACCUCAACGUGUCUUGAGGCUCAACUCAUUUCUCGCAAUAUGAGUUGAAUUUUGAAAACAGAAAUUGAAAUUACCUCAACGUGUCUUGAGGCUCAACUCAUUUCUCGCAAUAUGAGUUGAUUUUUUUUUGAAAGACAGAAAUUGAAAAUACCUCAGCAUAUGAACCGAGGCUCAACUCACCUCUCGCAAUAUGAGCUGAUUUUGAAAAAGUAGAAAUUAAAAGGUUCAACCCACCUCUCGCAAUAUGAGUUGAUUCUUGAACAACGUAAAUUGAAAACAGAAAUUGAAAAUACCUCAGCAUGACCUGAGGCUCAACUCACCUCUCGCAAUAUGAGCUGAUUUUGAAAAAGUAGAAAUUAAAAGGUUCAACCCACCUCUCGCAAUAUGAGUUGAUUCUUGAACAAUGUAAAUUGAAAACAGAAAUUGAAAAUACCUCAGCGUGACCUGAGGCUCAACUCACCUCUCGCAAUAUGAGUUAAAAUUAAAAAACAAAAAUUGAAAAUACCUCAACGUGCCCCGAGGCUCAACUCACCUCUAGCAAUAUGAGUUGAUUUUGAAAAACAAAAAUUAAAAGGCUUAACUCACCUCUCGCAAUAUGAGUCAAUUUAAAACAUAAACUAAAAAUACCUCAGCGUGCCCCGAGGCUCAACUCACUUCUCGCAAUAUGAGUUGAUUUUGAAAACAAAAAUUAAAAAUACCUCAACGUGUCUUGAGGCUCAACUCAUCUCUCGCAAUAUGAGUUGAUUUCCCUUGAAAAGCAUGAAUUAAAAACAUCAAAAUACCAAAACCUGUCCUUUGGUAGAACUAGGGUGUCUUUUCCUUUGAUUCAGUGUGACUCUCAUUCAAGAUUUCUUGCUCUGCUGGGGUACCUGUAUAUGCCAUGUAUGAUGUUAUCAUGAUAUGCACAUGUUUGUCUUAAAUGCUUUUAUGCCUACAUGAUUAUGUAGUGCUCCUUAAGCAUGUUUGUCGGAUGUCUAUUUAGCCACGGUUGUUAAGGAUCUGUGUUCAUUGCUUUGAUUCUCGACUUUCUCUUCAGGCCUUAUACAUGUCUUCAAGCUUCAUGAGUAAUCGACGUUUCUCAGAUAUCACUCUUCUGCCCCCGAUUGAACUUUGUUCUUACUUUGAGACUCUUGUGCUUAUCAAAUUUUCAUCCAGGUAAUGCUUAACAUUUCUUUUGUUUAGAGUAUGUCAUUUCACCAUUUAUCAUGUAAAUAAACACAAAAUGAGAUGCAUGAAAAAGGUCAGAUAGGGACAAAAAUGAUAUUUCAUAUUCAUCUAUUUCAAAUGUGGCAAACAAAGCAAGUUAACCAAUGAGAGUAAAAAAUGUCAAAAAGAAAGAAAGGAUCGUAUUCAACGGAUACAAAUGCUCUAGAUAUUCAACACAUGAACUCUUCCUCGUUCCUCAAUCAAAAAUCUUUUCGAGCGCGGCUUCUUGCGUAGAAGAUUUCGAGCUUUCAGAAAUGCUUCAAAUACUGUAGCCUCACUGCUUGACCUAUCGUUUGACCGCCAGGUUUGUUUCAUUAGGACGCCCUCUCGGGUUUUCAUCCUAAUCUUUUUGUACUAAUCAAGACGCCCUUUUCGGGUUUUCGCCUGGAUCCCCCCUUUUUUUUAAAAAAUGCCCUUUUCGGGUUUUCAUCUUAAGCAUAAUAUUUCUUCACAGCAUCUGAGUUCACUGGAUUCGACAACUCUUUCCCAUCCAUCUCGGUAAGGAUCAAAGCUCCUCCUGAGAAUGCCUUCUUUACGACGUACGUUCCUUCCCAGUUUGGUGCCCAUUUCCCUCGCAGAUCUUUUUGUAUUGGGAGAAUUUUUCUCAGCACGAGUUCUCCUUCAUGGAAUUCUCUUGGUCGUACCUUCUUGUCAUGGGCUGCUAUCAUUCUUUUUUGGUACAUCUGCCUAUGACAAAUUGCCCUGAGACGCUUUUCUUCAGUGAGGUUCAGCUGAUCAUAUCGAGCUUGUACCCAUUCUGCUUCUUCUAACUUUGAUUCCAUUAAGACUCGUAGAGAAGGGAUCUCAACCUCGAUAGGUAGCACAGCUUCCAUUCCACAAACCAGAGAGAAAGGAGUUGCUUCCGUAGAUGUUCGUACAGAUGUGCGAUAUGAAAACAAAGCAAAUGGAAGCUUCUCAUGCCAAUCUUUAAACGUCUCAGUCAUUUUCCCAAUGAUCCUCUUAAUAUUUUUAUUGGCUGCUUCAACAGCCCCGUUCAUCUUUGGGCGAUAGGGCGAGGAGUUAUGAUGCUUUAUUUGGAUUUGCUCGCAUACUUCCUUCAUCAUCUUGUUAUUCAGAUUCAUGGCGUUAUCUGAAAUGAUUCUUUCAGGCAAACCAUAUCGACAAAUGAUUUCAUUCUUCAAAAACCUGCAAACUGCAGUCUUGGUCACAUUGGCAAAUGAAGCGGCUUCUAUCCAUUUUGUGAAGUAAUCAAUGACCACAAAAAUAAAUCGAUGUCCAUUAGAAGCUUUCGGGAAAAUAGGCCUUAUGACAUCCGUGUCCCACAUAGAAAAAGGCCACGGAGAAGUCAUAACGUGAAGGGGCGAAGGGGCUACAUGAAUUUUAUCGCCGUAGAUUUGACAUUUGUGGCAUUUUCUGGCAAAACUAAUGCAGUCGCUUUCCAUCGUCAACCAGUAGUGACCGAGUUUCAUAGUCUUUCUGGCCAUACUGAAACCAUUGGAAUGUGUCCCACAGAUUCCCUCAUGGACAUCUUCAAGUAUCUUUCUGGCUUCAACAUCAUCCACGCAUCUCAAAAGUACUUGAUCCUUUCCUCUUUUAUACAGGAUAUUCUAAGAUAUCAUGGAACCAUGGCCGUCUGUCUGCCUCUUUCUCAAUGCUACAACAGUGUGCAGGGACCUCGUAUAUGCUCAUUUUGAGGGGCAUUAUUUCUGCUUCUUUACUUGCUUUGAACAUUGUAGCCAAGGUGGCCAGGGCAUCAGCCAAUUGGUCUUCUUUUCGCGGGAAGUAAUGAAAAGUUAUUUCUUUGAAUUCUUUAAUCAAUUCAGCCACUAAAUCACUGUACUUAAUCAAUUUUGGGUCCUUCACUUCCCACUCUCCACUGAUUUGGUAAACCACUAGGGCUGAGUCCCCGUACACCUCUAAGAUUUUGAUGUUUCGUUCUAUAGCUGCACGAAGUCUCAUGAUACAAGCCUCAUAUUCUGCUAUGUUAUUGGUACAGAAGAAAUUCUGUCUUGCAGUGAACGGAUAAUGAUUCCCGUCUGGUGAUACCAGGAUUGCUCCAAUUCCAUGCCCUAAAGUAUUUGACGCACCAUCAAAGCACAUCUUCCAUGACUUCUCUUUUGAUGACUUGGAUUCCAUUUCUGUGAUGCACAUUAAGUCUUCGUCUGGGAAAUUAAAUUUCAAGGGCUCAUAUUCCUCCAUCGUUCGAGUCACUAAGAAAUCAGCUAUUGCGCUCCCUUUUAUCGACUUCUGACUUACAUAGGCAAUGUCAUAUUCUGAUAGGAGGAUCUGCCAUCGUGCCAUUCUUCCUGAGAGUGCCGGUGAUUCCAUCAUGUAUUUUAUUAGGUCUAGCUUUGAAAUUAGCCAUGUCGUGUGAUACAACAUAUAUUGUCUGAGUCUCCGAGCUACCCAAACCAGAGCGCAACAGUAUUUUUCAAUGGACGAAUACUUUGCCUCAUAUUUAGUGAACUUUUUACUGAGGUAGUAGAUCGCCUUUUCUUUCUUCCCUGACUUGUCGUGUUGCCCCAGUACGCAACCCAUUGAAUUUUCGAACACUGUCAGAUACAAAAUUAAUGGUCUUCCCGGAGUUGGCGGUACUAGUACUGGAGGACUAGACAAAAACUGUUUUAUCUUGUUAAAAGCCACUUGGCACUCCUCGUUCCAUUCUCCGGGAUUAUGUUUUCAAAGGAGUCGAAAGAUUGGGUCGCAUUGGUCGGUAAGUUGAGCGAUAAAUCGGGCGAUGUAGUUUAAUCUCCCUAAAAAUCCUCUGACUUCCUUUUGCGUGUGCGGAGGUGGUAACUCUUGAAUGGCUUUUAUUUUAUCUGGAUCAACUUCAAUACCUCUCUCGCUGACAAUAAAACCAAGCAAUUUUUCUGAGGUAGCUCUAAACGUACAUUUGACCGGAUUUAGCUUUAGCUGGAACUUUCUCAGUCUGUCGAACAACUUCUUCAGGUUCACUACAUGCUCUUCUUCCCCUCGGGAUUUAGCAAUCAUAUCGUCGACAUAGACCUCUAUUUCUUUAUGCAUCAUAUCAUGUAAUAACGUCACCAUAGCCCUCUGAUAUGUUACCUCUGCAUUCUUUAACCCAAAAGGCAUCACCUUGUAGCAGAAUAUUCCCCACAUCGUUAUGAAGGUAGUUUUCUCGAUAUCUUCCGGGGCCAUUUUGAUCUGAUUGUACCCCGAGAAUCCAUCCAUGAAGGAAAACAAUGAAUGUUUUGCCGUGUUAUCCACCAACGUAUCAAUGUGUGGUAAGGGAAAAUUAUCUUUAGGACUUGCUCGAUUCAGGUCACGAUAAUCCACGCACAUUCGUACUUUAGCGUCUUUCUUUGGUAUCGGGACUAUGUUAGCCACCCAUUCUGGAUAUUUGGAGGCUUGUAGGAAGCCAGCAUCAAAUUGCUUCUUGACUUCCUCUUUUAUCUUCAACAACAUCUCAGGCCUCAUCCGUCUUAGCUUUUGUUGAAUAGGCUUGCAUUCUGGCUUUAAUGGGAGCUUAUGGACCGCGACAUCUUCAUCCAAUCCUGGCAUGUCCUGAUAUGACCAUGCGAAUACAUCUUUGUAUUCGCGGAGCAAAGCAAUCAAAUUAUGCCUGGUGCCCCCUGAAAUAGAAGUUCCAAUCUUCACUUCUUGCCUCCUUUCUUCAGUUCCCAGAUUUAUUGUUUCAACAGAUUCUUGAUGAGGCAAAAUCUAUUUAUCCUCUUGUUCCACCAUUCUUAGCAAAUCAGGAGACGAGACAUAGUCUUCAGCGUUUUCUUCGGCUUCGAAUUCUCCUAAACAAACAGCCUUCUCAAAAUCGAUUUCAGGACUCGUAACGGGUUUGUUCAUGCUGUUGACAUCUGAGCACCUGAAAGUUGAAUGGAAAAGGGAACUAUAGAGGGGCAUCCAAGUAUUGAAACCAACAAACGAAAUGUUAUGGCAUGGGAUGAGGCAAAUGUAAGGAUUGGCUAUGACAUGAGAAAAUGAUUAUGAAAUUAGUGAUAAUGUGAAAGAUUAUGACGAAAUGCAUCUUCAUUGAUAUUCAUUUGAAUGAUAAAGAGCGAAUGCAGGCUCUUACAAAAGAAUUCUAUUAUAUCUAAGGACAUAACAGAAUGUUAACGUUUGAGCAUUACUCUGAAGACUUAUAAACUAUAAGAAGAUCCUCGACAGUCCAAUUGUUCAACUUGAAACCCAGGGGACAAGGGCGUAUCCUUGAGACGUUUUUAUUUGCGUUAACUUCUUUGUCGAUGACAUUUAUACUGACAUUCUGAACACCCCUUUCAAUUAAUAACAGCGUGCUUUGUAUAUUAUCCUGUCUGGGGUAUAUCAUUCCUGCAGAUGUAAAUGUUUUUGACAAAGGAGGGUACGUUAUGGGCUCCCAUUCUAUUUCUCGGCCCAAAGUUCUCGCGAUCCCUCUCUCCUGAUCCUUCUUCCACUGUUUUUUUCUUUGACGCAUGUCCGGUUGGAACCCCAAACCGUAUCGGGCCUUGUGGUGCACUGGCUUUAGGGCCCUGACUAUUCCUUCCAGGUACCUUCCCAAACCUUUCCUUGCUCGGGCUCCCUUUCCUACAGUCAACUUGACACCCAUCUUGGUAUUUCUCGAUAGUUUUGGCUCGAGAAUUCUGUUUCCCUCAGUGACAAAUGUGGCAUUGACAAAUUCAAGAGAUCGAAAGGAACAUUCCAUAGCAUCUUUACUCACUUCAAUAUAUGGUGCGUCGGCAGAAAUAGAUGCUACAAUGUCUUCUUCUCCCUCGACAGUGACCAAACAGCCAUCCAUGAUGAAUUUCACCUUUUGAUGAAGGGAUGAUGGGACCGCUCUAGCAGAAUGAAUCCAAGGUCUUCCCAAGAGACAAUUGUAUGAUGGUGUAAUGUCCAUGACUUGAAACUCAACAUUGUAUAUGUAGGGACCCACUUCUAAAGGGAUCUCAAUUUUUCUCAUAACUUCUCGUCUUGUGUCAUCGAAUACCCUUACUGUAGAAUGGCAAGGCCUUAGAUAGGACAAAUCCAUCGGAAUCCUGGAAAGUGUGGCUAAAGGCAUGGAAUUGAGUGACGAUCCAUUGUCGAUGAGCACAUUCAAUAUUAUAUAGCCCUUACAACGGGUUGUUAUAUGCAAUUCUUUCAUUGAGCCUCUACCAUUGGGCGGUAUUUCAUCAUCAUUAAAAGAAAUGAAAUUAUCCGCAUUCAAGUUGUUCACCCACCUAUCCAGUUUUUCAACGGAUACAUUGUUUGCCACAUAAGCUUGAUUUAACACUUUCAGCAGAGCGUUCCGGUGUGGUUCUGAAUUCAACAGCAAAGAUAAUACCGAGAUUCGCACUGGCUGCUUACUCAAUUGUUCUACCACGUUGUACUCACUGUGCUUGAUAAAUUUUAAAAAAUCCUGUGCUUCUUCCUCGUCUACAGGCUUUUUAGCUUCUUAUUCAGGCACAGUUUCAUACUCAUCUUCAGUCACAUGCAUCGGUGCUUUUCCUUUCUAUUUCAAGUCACUGUUCUUUACUGAUUCGACCUCUUUUGAAUAACAUCUUCCGCUACGAGUGAAAUGACCUACUUUCCCAACGCUUCCAGUCAUGGCUUUGGGUUUUUCAUCUUCAGGUGUGACGAUAUUAACGUCAUAUUUCUAUGGUACUGCUUUAUUGUCCUUGUAGGGGAAAGGAGAUGGUACCUCGAUUAUCACUUUUGGUUUCACUGGUUCCUUCUUUGCGUCAUAACAAAUUAUUAACGGUCGAUCGGCGCUAUACGGGAAACCUGAUGAUUGAUUGUCAGAGGCACAUAUUUCUCCACUAUCGACCUCUUUGGCUUUAUAAAAAAUCCCAAUCUCCUUGUUAUCCACCAUAUUUUACAGUAAAUUUCUGAAUUCCUCGCAGGACUGAAUGUCGUGCCCUUCAAUGCCAUGGAACUCACAAAAACUGUGACCUUUUGCAUCUUUUCCUUCAAAUAUUCCGUUAAAACGACAGAGCAACCCUUUUUCAACUAGUACCUCCCAGAUUCUCUGCAGAGGUGUUUUUAUUUCAGUAACCCAUCUUCUACUUUGUCGUUUGUCCUCCUCUCUUACUGCGCUCACAUUCCCUUCGGUGUGGUUUGGGAAUGGAUUCCUGGCCGUACCGCCAGUACCAUCAAAUCGCAAAAUGCCUGCGUCAAUGAGCCCUUGAACUUUCCUCUUGAAAGCAAGACAGUUCUCAGUAGAAUGCCCCUGGUUUCAGGCAUGGUAUGCACAACUAGCGUUUGGAUCGUACCAUUUCGGGUAUGGAGGUUUAAGGGGUGCCAUGUAAUGGGGAGAAAUCAGUUGUUUCUCCAAAAGUUUUGGGUACAAUUCCCCAUACGACACAGGGAUGGGACUAAACUGCAGUCUCUCGGGAUUAAGCCUUGCUGGUCUUGGUUCAUUUCUGGUUUGGCUUUGAGCGGGUACCGUGUUUUGUGGGAAUGAGGUGACGGGUCUUUGAUUGUUCGUGGCGUAAACGAGAAAGGAAUGAGGUGGUGCUUGGUAAUAAGGGGUUUGAGGAGGAUAAUAGAAAUUUGGAGGUGGAUAAUUUUGAGUCGGGGUUGAUUUGGAUAUGAAUUAGGGGCAUAACAGUUUCCCAUUCCCACCAUAUGGGCUUCUGGUUCUUUCUUCUUCAUAGGCGCUGCCCUUUUUGAACCUUCUGAAACUUCCAUUCUACCGCUCUUGACGGCAUUCUCUAUGAGCUCACCAGAUAUUACAAUAUCCGCAAACUCCUUCGUGGCACUUCCCACUAGUUUGUUAUAAAACGGCGCCUUUAAGGUGUUGAUAAAGAGAACGAUUAUCUCCGUUUUUGUUAGUAGGGGUUCCACUUGGGCCGAGACGUCUCUCCAUCUCUGCACAUACUAUUUGAAGGUCUCUGAUGGCUUUUUCUCCAUCAUUUGCAAGGUCAUCCGGUCUGGCACCAUGUCUGAUACAUGCUUGUACUGCUCGCAGAAUGCAGACGCCAAGUCCUUCCAGGAUCGAAUCUUUUCUCUACUAAGUUGGUUGUACCACCGAAGAGCUGACCCUGUUAGACUAUCUUGAAAGCAAUGUAUGAGUAGCUUAUCCUCCUUCACAUAACCGGUCAUUUUUCGACAGAACAUGAUGAGAUGUGCUUUUGGGCACCUUGUCCCAUCAUACUUUUCAAAAUUAGGCGCCUUGAAUUUCGGAGGCAAGAUUAGAUCAGGUACCAAACUGAGUUCUUUGGCACCUAGUGCGGAGAAGACUUCAGUGCCUUCUAUUGCUUUGAGUCUUUCCUCUAGACUUCUAUAUUUUGCAUCAUGAUUAUCCAAUUUCAACUUGGCUACCUCUACUGGGUCGUCCAGAUCUGGAACUAGUGGAUCAGCAGGGCUUGCCCUUGGGUUUGACACGAAUAUUCCUUGCCCCAGAUUAGUGGGUGGAGCAGGUGGCAUAGGUCGUUGUUCCAAGACUGUGGGUUCCCCUUGAGUAUACCCUCUUUGUGUUGUAUAUGCAGGUGGUGGAGUGAAUCCCGGGGGAUAGAGUGGAUCCUGAUCGUGGUGAAUUCUUGACUGAGGUUCCAUAACAUCGGGGUUCUGCACGGGUCCUUUUCUUUUGACCAAAGUUGUCAUCAUCUCCAUCAUUUUGGCCAUCUGAUCUCUUUGCUCGAGUGAUUCCUCUCGAGAUCUCACCAUUAAGUCUCUCGUUUCUUGUUGCGAUUUGGCCAGUUGCUCUUGUAAUUCCUUUUGAGCCCUUUCCAUUCUUUCAAUUCUCUCAUUGAAUUCAGCCUCCAUUACUCUAGCUUGUCGGCGCGUUUUAUACGGAUGACGUGGUUCCAGUCUUGUGGUAUUACAACUGCGAAUUAUAUAUUUUAUCUUCAGCGACCGAGUAUGGGAUAUGCAAUGUAUGAAUGAAUGCAUGAAUGAAUGCAUGAAUGUCAAAAUGUUAGUUAUGCAAGGAAUGCAAAAAUUUGGUGUUAAUUUCAAGAUAGCCCCUAUUUAGGCAUUUCCUUAAUCAAAGGAGUCUAUUACACAACGUUUCAGUCAUUCGUAUAAUUGACUCCUCCAUUAGAAACCCGUUUUUGGCAACCAAUCUCUAAUCAACACCUUCCUAACAAGAUGCCUUCGAUGCAUGAUGAAAAAUAGAAAUACAGACAAACGACAUUGGUUAGCGCAACACAUAUAAACAGAGAAAAACUGUGGAAAAUCUAACAAAUUAAGCUACUUGGUCUAGUGGACUCGAUUCCCUUGCUUAGAACGCACAAAUGUAAAAGAAAUAGAAGGUAAAAUGUGCUUUUCCCGUGUACUUAUUUCGGUGACUACUAAACGAGCGGAGGUUCGGCAUGGCUCUAGUUGGGUGGCUCGUAUGGUUCACUAUAUGCAGUUUUGGUUCUAGAUGGGUACUCGAAUCGUCUGCACUGUCAUCUACUAAGAUUAGUACAGAGCCUCGGUCAUGGCCCAUCAUAGGCUUACGAGAUCAAUUCGAGGGAUUACAUUUACUUAUGCUUAUGCGGAGGGACAAGUUAACUCACGAAAGCAUAAGUCAUAUGUAACCCAAAAGUAUUCACUAGCCUAUGCGGAGGAACGAGUUAACUCACGAAGGCGUAGCGUUUACUUUCACUUAAUAGGGACGGAGCCCGGGUAUAGAGCUCAUGUUAUGCAACAAAAAUGCACGUGCACGGUGUGUGGGGAGAAACUUGCAAACCUUUACGUUUUAUUUAAAAAACUAAACCAAAACCAAAAUCACAAAAAUUUAAAGCUGAAAAACAACCGGAUAAAACAAGUUAGAAUAUAUACAACACAACGCAAAUGCAUGAUUUUUUUUAAAACAAAAAAUUUGAGGAUCACGACUAAAUGUUAAUUUAAAAUUUGACUUUGAAAAUUUUGACAACACGAGUUUAAUUCGACUCGACUCUCAAAAAGCGUGCCCAGUGGAGUCGCCAGCUGUAGCGAUAUAAAAAAAAAUUAGUUUCGCUUGGUCGCUAAUUGUGGCGAUUUAUUAAACAUUUGAAAACCAACUUUCGAUUUUAUUAACAAAGGGAGUCGCCACCGAUCCUUUUUUAUAGGUGUGAUCGGACACCUAAUAAAAUUAUUUUAAAACAAAAAAGGCCAAAUUUAGGUCUACAUGAAAGUCCAGAGAAAAAUUAGGGUUCAGGAGUCAGUUACGCGUGAGGAAGGUAUUAGCACCCUCGCGACGCCCAAAAUUGGUAUCUCAUAAACAUGUGUUGACUUGAUUUUCAAAAAUACGAGUUCAAUAUAAUAUUUAAUCGUGAUCCAAUUGAAAAAUGAGAAUUUUUAGUUUUCGAUUUUUUUUUAGAAAGGGUGUCCCAUUUUUUAACACAAGCCGACGAAUUUCACCCAACAUAGCGAUGAAAUCGAUGGCUUAAUAUUAAAUCGGUACAUUGCCUUAUUUUUGAAAUUAAUUAAAACAUGAGAAAAAAUAUUCCUAAAGUGAGAAAUUAAAAAUAGAUAAAGGACGCAAAAAAAAUGAUAUCAUUAAUGAAAAAUAUUAACAUGGAAUACUAGAAUAUUAGAAUAACAGUAAUAAUGAUAUUUACAAAAUAAAAACAAAUCAUGUACUAAUAAUAAAAUAGGAAAAUGAUAUAUUUGGUAAUAAUAAUAUAAAAUAAUAAUAUGUACAUAAAAAUACAUAUAUAUAUGCAUAUAAUAAAAGUAUGUAAUAAUAAUAAUAAUAUCUACAAUAAAAGAAAAUAUUAGGAAACGUACAUAAAAAAUAUAUAUACAUAAAAAAUUUACAACAAUAAUAUAAAAUAAUGAUAUGUACAAAAAUAUAUAUAUAUAUACAUAUGUACAUAAAAUAUACACUAAUAUAAUAAUAGUUAUAAUAAUACUAGCAAUAGUAAUAAUUUGUAAUAAUAAUAUAUACACAAUAUGGUAUUUAAAAUAUAUAUAUAUGUAUAUAUAAUAAUAUUUAAGAAUAUAUACAUAAGAAAUAUAUAACUAAUGGCAUUAAAAAUAUAUAUACAUAAUAUAUAUAAAAUACAUAUAUAUAUACGUAUUAGAAAUGAUAAAAAAAAUUAUUAACACACUACAUAAGUAAAUGAAAUAUAAUAAUAAUACUAAAAUAAUUAAUUUAAAUAGUAAAGUAACUAAAAAGAAUUAAAUUGAACUAAAAACAAAAUAUUUGGGGCAAAAUUGAAAUAAAAAUAAAAGGAAAGGACUAUAUUGAGCAUGCGCGGAAAUAGUGGGGGGCCAAAACACAAUUAAUCCUCCCCUCAAAACAUAACAUAGCAAGAGGGACUAAAUCACAAAGCGCUACAUACUUUAAGGCCAAUUUUUUACAAAAAAAAUCAUUUUGAAGAGAGAAAGAAAAAAAAAGAAGGGAGAAAGAAGAGAGAAGGGAGGGGGGAAAGGAAAUCCGGCUAAGGGGGCUGGUCACCGGCCGAUCGUCGGCCGCCGCUCGUCGCCGGCGCAGGCCACCGCCGGCCACCGCCCACGGUGGCCGGAAAAGGUAAAAUUUUUUUCUUAACAAUAUAUGUAUAUAUAAAGAAAGAAAAAAGCAACACAAAAAAAAAAGAAAGAAAAAAGAUUCGAAAGAAGAGGAAAAAAUAAAAAAAAUGCUACCUUUUUAUUGAUGUUUCUUUUGUGUUCAAAAUUUGAAGGGAUUUUUGUGUUUGUCUCCUUUUUCAAUCUUUGUAAAAAUCCCCCCUCUUUACAUGAUUUUUGAAUGGCUUUUUAUAGCCAUCUUUUACAUGAUUUUCUAUUAUUUCUUUUUCUAUUUUGUAGGUGGCGGUGGUAGGCAAUGGAUAUCAAAAAUGGGAGGAAAAAUGGGGCAAGUGGGAAAGUGGCUAGGUGGCUAGGGUUUCUUGGUUUUUUUUUUUUGGGGUUAGGUUUUUCUUUUUUUUUUGGUUAGGUUUUUUUUUUUUUUGGUUAGGUUUUUUUUUGGGGAGGGCUUAAUGGGCUUUUGAAUUGGGUUUAAUAUUUGGGUUUUGUAAUGGGUUUGGGUAGAUGUAAAUGGGACAUGGGUUAAGGGUUUUAGUGGGUUUAGAGGUUUGGUUGGGUUUUGAUAUAAUCGGGUCCGGGCAAUUUGGGCUUCUACACUUAGUAUUUGGAAGCUUCGAGAAAAGUAAUGCCCUAACUUAUUGGGUUGCAACUUUUCUCGUUGAGUUCGAAUAGUCAAGUACCCUUCUAAGUUUUUUAAGAUUUCCAAAAUACUAGCAACUGUCUUGGAAUUUCAAAACGUUGUGUCCUAACUUAUUGGAUGUGGCGAUUUUUUGUUUCGAGAUAGGGAUUUCCAAAAGGUUAACUUAGUGUCAAUGUUUGAUACAAGUGAAUUUCAAUUUUCAAAAUCAAGAUAUUUUAAAAAGGAUUGUAUCUUAAAAUUUUUUAAAUUUCCGACCUUAAAGACAUUUGAUAAUUAAUUAGGUACCAAUUUUUGGGCGUUACGAGGGUGCUAAUCCUUUCUCGUACGUAACCGACUCCCGAACCCGUUCUUUUAUUUCGUAGACCAGAACUAAUGAUUUUAAAACAAAAUGUUUUAAAGGUGAUCCAAUCACACCUAAAAAGAUUGGUGGCGACUCCUGUUUUCGUUUUUUAAAGUCGAUUCUCAUUUUCCAAAACUCGAUUUAAAAAUGGUCUCAACAGUAGCUAUUAAAUUAAUUAAAAUUCUAUUAUUUAAUAAUGCAUAUACCAAUUUUUCUAACUUAUAGUUUCUAAAAUAUUGAAGUACUUCUCUUCAAUUUAUAUUAUUUCAAAUAUAUUUGAGAUACACUAGGUACUCUUUCUACUACUGUGUUAUUAAAUACAAAAAUAUUUUCAAAAUAAAAAAUGUUUUUUCAAUAUAAAACACUUAUGUUCAUAAAACGAUUUCAACAAUUUUUUCAAUGCUAAAUUGAUGACUAAAGGGAGAAGUUGAAUUUAAAAGGGAAAAAGAAAAGAAAAGAAAGAAACAACUUGUUGUAUUAGGGAAAAUAAGUCGUGGUUAAUAUGCAGAAGGUCUUUGGGUUUGAAAUUUGACUAGUAAUUUGUAAAUUUUUUGGCUGGUUAGACAUAAUAGUGACAUAGCUCAAAGUCUUCUUACCUCAAUAUGGAGUACCAUUUGAGAUUGGAAGCCUUGAAGAAAUUGAUAAUCAUCUCUCGGAUUCUAUAGGAAUCUAAGUAUAAUUAAGUAUUGAUGGAUUAAUGUGUUAUAAGGGAUUAAAGUCUUUUUUAGCUCAACUAGAAAAUUGAUAAUGAUAUUAUGUUUCAAUUUUGUGUUAUUUUUAAAAUAUUUUUUGCUAGCUAGAAAAUGUAAGUAUUUAUUGUUCGCUUUUAGAAAUUAUAUAUAAAAUUAUCAAUUCCAAAUAAAAAAAUUUAUUGAUAUUUUUUGUUGAUAUUUUUUGUUAUGAAAAAACAUUCUCAAUGUGUUGUAUUGUUGAACAAGUAAUCUUUUUACUUCUAUUGUGGCAAAUUCAAUGGAGGGAGUUAUCUUCAUAUUUCUGCCAUAAAAAGAUUCUCAAUAUAUUUCAUCGGGUGGAAAUUUUGAGUUAGGUUAGAGUGCUUAAAAAUCUCAUGGCAAUCAACAAAUUAUGUGAAGGUGUGUGAAAAUAGGAAGGAUACGAUCUUCAAUAAACAAAAGUUUAGAUAACAAUUCCCAUUGUACUCUUUGGAUAACUCGAUCAUCUUUCUUAUAAAAUGUAAACUUUUCAAAAUAAUAAAGAAAAGAAAGUUUAGGCAAUUUAAUUUAAGUAGUUCACCUUUAAUUGCUUACAUCCACUAUUUUAGUAUACUUCAAUCAAGGAUUUCCCAAUUCACUGUAAAAAUUAAUACCUUUGAAGGAGAAGAUAUAACAUUUACAAUACUAUUUUUUUUCUUAAGGCUUAAAUACAACCUUUCCCCCUUGCUUUUAUAGUUGUUUUAUAGUUGUUGGCAAACCAUGUCUCAAGACAAUCUACCAAUUGUCUCUAGACACACAGCACAAUGUUUCAAGACAAGCAGCUCCUAUCAAUUGGUACAAGCCGAUAUGAAUCAAUAUAAGCUGGUAUUGACUAAAACGAGUUGAAACAUACUGCAAUGGUCAAAAUGCAUCAAAAUCUUAACUAUAAUGGAACCUAGACUAUUUCAUACUGGUUGAAGACCAAAAAGAUACAUUUCGAGUGUGUUUUAUGUUGAUAUCCCUUUUAUUUAUUGCUUUAUAUUUUUGUUCUUUUAAUAAGAUUUGUUUGGCUUAUAAAAAAUAAUUUUAUUAAAAUAAAAUAAAUGAAAACCUUAUGCAAAGACUGAAAAAUGAGAUCAAAAUUACCUAUGUUUUGAUAUUGAGCAUUUAAUAAUUUGUACCUAUAUUAUUUAAAAAAACAAUUUGUACCGAUACAAAUGAUCAUCAAAAUUCAGUGUAAAUUGAUAUAAUUUGGAACGGUUUUGCAAUUAAUAAUAAUCUUUCUAAACUUCGUUUAAUACAUAAUUUAUCCAAGCAAAAUUGAUAACUUAAGUUUCUACAUGUCUUACGAAAGCAUAAUAGACUAACGGAUUGCAUGGCCAAAAUUGUUCCUAGUUGUCUUAACAGGUUAUCAACUUUUGAAGACCCAACUAAUCAUGCUCGAUCUUUGUUUAAAAAAAAUGUUCAUCAAGCAAUGAUUAAUAUACACUCCCACCAACCUUAUUGUAACUAAUUCCUUGAAGUUGUUUCUUUUUUAAAAAAUUCACAAUAUGCAAAAAUAACUAUUAAUAAACUUUAUAGGAAAACAAAGCAUCUGUAUAAAUAUUUAUCAAAGACAUUGCUAGAAAGCAAAGCUCAUGCUUAUUUUAGUCAAAUUAACAACUGCCUCUUCAUCGAACUCGUUCCAUAUCCCUUAAUAACUUCACUUUGAUCUUCUUUAACUUUGUAACAAUCUCUUUCAUAUGAAGCCUCUCAUUUGGUAACUCUACACAACAUUCUAAGCCCAGUUGCAAAAUGGAUAAGGCAUAAUUCUUGACUUUUAAAUGUUCCCUUCGAAUGGUGCUCAACAACUUGGGAUCUACAACUUGAUUUAGCGAAGAUGAUAUCGACUCUAUCACCCAACUCUUCAAGCUUUUUUCUCCUGCAAACAUUUUAUCUGUGGGCUUUUUUCUUGUGAUGAUUUCCAUCAAAAGAAUACCAAAGCUAUACAAAUCACCUUUGGUCGAAAUAAUUCCUUCAAUUCCAUAUUCUGUGUAUAAAUAUAAAACAACAUUAUAAACAUUCAAAGAUAUCCUGAUAAUGAAAAAUUCUUAUAAAAUAUCUGAAACAUUAUAUGCUUGCCUGUUAUAAUUAAACUAGGAUUUAAUUUAGUUGCUUCCUUAAAAAGUCACAUUCAAUGUGUUUGAAACUCAAAUGUUAAUAGAUAUGAUCCCUUUUGUUAUGCACAUACUACACUUAAAUUGAAAAUGGAAAAAUAAACAUGGAGUUCGAUUAGAAGUAUCACCUGGUGCCAUAUAUCCAAAUGUUGCCAUUGUCAUGGUUUGUAUCAUUGAAACCUCGUCACAUAAGAGUUUUGCGAUGCCAAAAUCACUCAAAUGCGCAACCAUAUCUUCAUCUAACAGAACAUUGUUGGGUUUUAAAUCACAGUGAACCACUAGUGUUGCAUUACCAUGGUGGAGAUAUUCCAAUGCAGAUGCAACAUCUAUCAUUAUGUUCAACCUUUGUAGGAUAUCCAAAUAUUGGUUGUUGGAAUACAACCAUUUAUCAAGACUCCCAUUAGGCAUGAACUCAAGCACCAAGGCUUUGAAAUUAAGAUCAUUAGAGCAACUGCUUAUUACUUUGACUAAAUUUCUGUGACGAGUGUUGCGGAGAACUUCACAUUCAACAUCAAAGCUCUUAAAAGCUCCUUCUAACUCUAACUUGAAGACCUUUAUCGCAAUUACCGUCCCAUCCUGGAGAGUCCCUUGGAAUACUGAACCAUAACUUCCAUUACCAAGCAACCUACUAUCAUUGAAUCCAUCAGUAGCUUGACGAAGCUCGUGGUCUGAAAACCGUCUCCACGUUCCUAAAGGUAUCAUGUCUUCUUGAGUUGGCAAUUUGCCUUUCCUACUGUUUUGCAAGAUAAUGAUUAUCAGAGCCACAACCAAAAUUGUGGAGGCAAUUGGCAGAGCUACAUACAUUAUGAGCUUAGUUUUUGCCUUGGAAUUUCUAAGAGGUCUAGUUUUGCAGUUUGGAACAUGAAGUCGAGCUGCACCACAAAAGGCUUCAUUCCCCUUAAAUGAUUCGAUUGUGUAGUUUCCAAAUGAUCCUCCUUCAGGAAUUUCUCCUUCAAGUCUAUUAAAAGAGACAUUGAAAUAUGUGAGAUAACGGAGUUUCUCUAAGGAUUUGGGAAUCUCUCCAGAUAGAUUAUUUCUUGACAAGUCCAAGAAUUCCAAACUCAACAUUUCAUUAAAAGACUCAAGAAUAGAACCCAUGAUUCUAUUAUUGGAUAAGGAAAAACGAGUGAGGUCCUUGAGAUCUGCAACUCCAGUUGGGAUAUCACCUGAGAACUGAUUGUUCGACAAAUCCAAACUAGUCAAAACUUGCAAUUUUCCAAUGUCGAUUGGCAGUGGACCACUUAGAGAAUUUGAAGACAAAUAUAGGAUGAGGAGAUAGUUAACUCUUGUCAACGUUGAAGGUAUUGAGGAGGAAAACAUAUUGGAGUCUAGAAAUAGUUGCCUUAAUGAAUUGAGAUCACCUAAGCAAGGAGGUAUUGGCCCAGACAAUUUGUUAUUGGUCAAGAACAAGAAAGCCAAUUUGUUUAGAUGACAUAACUCAGAUGGGAUGGAUCCCUCUAACUUAUUGUCCUCAAGAGAAAGACUUUGCAACUCUUCCAAUCCUCCAACUGUAGUAGGAAUCUGUCCUAUCAAUUUAUUGCCUCCUAGCUCAAUGUUUAUCAAGUGACUUAAGUUUCCAAUUUCACUGGGGAUGCUACCCCUAAUGUUGCAUGCAGAAGCAGAGAACUCUUCAAGAGAACUUGAGAGAUUUCCUACCACUCUUGGAAGUUCACCACUAAUAAAUGAGUUGAUGCCGAAAAGAAGGUUCUCCAAGACUCUACAGUUUGUCAAAGAAAAGAGAAAUCUCAUUCUUGAGGAAGUUAAACUAUUUUUCGCCAGGGUGAGAAUCUUUAAAUUUUUUAGAUUGCCCAGAUUAUCAGGAAUGGACCCUGAAAAGUUAUUAUUAGACAUGUCAAGAAGAGUAAGCUGAGAAGCAUUGGAAAUAUAUAUUGGGAUCGACCCGACAAGGUGAUUGAAAUUAAAAUAUAAUUUCUCCAUGUUUGGAAGGAAAAGGCCCAUUUUGAUGGAAGAUGGCCAGAGAGCUGAUUUGUACUCAAAGAAAUCGUCCUUAGAGUCGAAAUAUUAAAUACUUGUGGGGGAAUAGAGCCGGCAAAAUUGUUAUAUUCUAAAUUCAACAAUUGUAGAUUCUUUAGGUUGCCAAUCUCAAGUGGUAUCAUACCUGCCAUAAAUUUUAUCAAACAAAAAUGCUAGACAAAUAUGAGGAAAAAAAGAGUUUAUAUAUGAAACAUUUGCUUAUAUUUCUUAAACAUUUUAAAAAAUUUAAAUUAAAUUAUCUAACAAUGUGUAAAUUUAUUGACAACUAGUGUAUCAAAUAUGAACCAACAAUAUUUAAGAAAAAAUUAAUUCACAAUAAAAUUGUUUUUUUAGAGCUCUUGCCAAUAUCAAAUUACUUAAAGUAAUUUAAAAU